AUGUAAUUUCUUAAAAUCUUUUUGUUAAGCUUUUUUGUAUAUUAUUGUUGUCUAAAUCUAACUUAAAAUAUUUUAAAUUUUAUUUUAAAGUUUUAUUUAAUUUUAUGUGUAAAAUUUAAAAUCUGUAAACAAAAUUUAAAAUAUUUAUGAGAUAUAAUACUUUUAAGGAUUAAAACAAUAAAUGAUAUAAUAUUUAUGAAUCAUAAAGGGGGUGUGUGAAUAUAGAGACCAAAAUGCAAACAAAAAUAUUAAACUUCAAAUUUGAAGUUUUGAAUAGUGAAACUUCAAAUAUAUAGUUUCACUACUCAAAACUUCAAAUUUGAAGUUUUGAAGUUCCUUUUUGGAGAGCAAAAAACUUCAUAUUUGAAGUUUCACUCUGAAAACUUCAAAUUUGAAGGUUUCAUAUUUUUAUUUGCAUUUUGGUCCCUACAAUUACACAUCACAUUUAUAAUUCUUAAAUAUUUUAUUAUUUAUCGUAUUAAUGCUUAAAAAAAUUAUAUCUAAUAAAAAUUUCAUUUUUUAAUAAAUUUAAGUUUUACACAAAAAAAUUAAAUUAAAUUUAAAAUAUUUUAAAACUAGAUUUAGACAACAACAAUACAAAAGAAACCUAACAACAAAAAGCUUUUAAGAAAGUUACAUGAAGACAUAACUAUUACACAAAAAUAAAUAUUACAACAAUACUAAUAGUCAGUUAAUUUGAUCCGGAACCUCCAAAAUCUUCAAAAUAUUGUCCAAACAAAUUUUGUGUAACCGAAUAUAGUUGCUGCUGUUGUUGUUUUAGUGUCUUUUUCGUACAAUUCUUUCUUAUUAAGAUCGAAUGAAUUCAUUGAAUAUUAAUAUCAUAUAUGCGUUACGAAAAUAACUUUAUGGAAUAAUACAAUAUUUUUUUUGAAGUUUAGUAUUAAUUAUGUUAUUUGAUUUAAAAUUUAUAUUUUAAUAUAAAAUUUUAUUAAUUAAUAAUGUUGUAAUAUUUUUAUGUAUGUGCUUAGUUAUUUACAAAAGUUUUAUGAAUUUAAAUUAAUGAUGACAAGUAUAAGGACCAUAAUAUAAAGUACAAAUAGUUUUGAAGUUAAGUUUGGAGUUUUUCUUUUGGAGAAGAACAUCUUGAAACUUCAAAUAUAGAGUUUUUGAAACUUCAUAAUAGAAUGUCUUUUUGGAGACGUGUGCAAAAGAUAUUUUCACAUAUUUUCAUAUUAUAGCAAAACAUUAUAUAGUCCAAAGACUUAUAAUUUUGGGUUCCAACAAUUAGCCGCCCUGCGACAAUAGUAAAAUGUGUCCAGUAAUAGAUUUGGUAGGAAUUUUUUUUAAACUUUCACACAAUACCUUCGAAAUUAUCUUGUAGAGAACACCACACGCAAUUAAAUGGUCUUGAUUUCGUCAUACGAGUCAGACUAGCCAUUUUUGGUAUUAAACAUAUAUUACACCCCAUGUUCAAAAUUACGCUAGGCGUGAGUCGGGCGGCUGGUCUAAGCUUAGCGAGUUAUCGAAAAAUCGGAGAUUAAACGGGGAGUACGCGGAGCCUAAUUUUCAAGCCUAUUACAUGUACAUUUCAAUAUAUAUAUAUAAGGGUAUAUGUAAUAUGUUACUAUAUAAGCAAUGUGGCGUAUUAUAUAUUAAAUUUUUGUAAGAUAACCGAGUUGUAAACGUGGUGUAGUGGACACUAAUGUGGUUUGAUUCAAUUUAUCUAGAGUUUGAAAAGUGUUACGUUAAUUUUUUUAUUUUAUUUAAUAUUUCUUUUGUUUUUAGUGGAUGGUAGACUUGUAAAUAAGUCUUCUUCUUCAUCAGUUUCGUGAAACAGAAGAAGAUAGACGAUGCAGGAACAAGAUUCAACUUUAUUUUGUUUGGAACUCUCAAUCCCCUUUGGAUUUUGUCUCCACCUCUCACUUCUUCUCUUGAUUUCGUGACAAAUGCUUUGAUUAGGAUUCAGACCAAAGGAUCUUGGGCUUAAUUGCGUAAAACGUUUUGGAUCUAGGCGCCCGCGUUUCACAAAUACCCUGGAUAGGCGGAAACAAUUCGUCUUACCGCACAGAGCACCCGAUCAGACCUUUUUCGCCACGGCCAUGCUCCGCUUACCGUAUACGCGUCCGAGUAAUCGUCAACUCGCCCGCGUUUUCGAACACGGAUUACACCAUUCAAGAAGGACACUAAAAUAUUCAGAAUAAUUAUCUAUCAUCUUCGGAUACACUAGCAAGCAUCAGAUCAUGCAAAUCAAGUUAAAAAAUCAAUUAUAUAUGAUUUGGUAAAACAUUAGCAUAAACAUUAUACUAUUUAUUAUCCAAUCAACAAUUUUUAGAUUAGCAUUUAAAAAACAUUUACAAAAUGCUAAUGCUCUCUCCUCAAUGCUCUCAAAUGAAGCUUUUAGCAGAGCAUUUACAAAUAAAAUAGAUAGAAAAAUAAAAAAAGUAAUUACAUAUAAUUAAUUUAUUUUAUCAAAUAAUAUCCAAAAAUUAUGUUUAUAUCGAAAAAAAUAAAUUUAUAAUUUUAAAAAUAAAAUUUUCUAUUAAAAUGUAUUUAAUUUUUUUGAAAUAAUAAUAUUUUACAUUUAAAAUAUAAUAUCAUUUAUAUAAUUAUAUAUGAUUCACAAUCUAUAGUAACAAAACAUAGAACAACAUAUAUUUAUAUAUUAUCAAUAUCUAUAAUAUUAAUUUAGAAAUAAAAAAAUUAUAUACCAUAUAUUAAUUUUUAUGAUAAUUUUAUAUAUGAAUCAUUUACUGCUCUACCAAUCAUUUUAUUAAAUAUAUAAAUGAAAGCAUACUGCUUAUAUAUCAUACUACUAAUGAUUUAUCAUCACUUGCACCAAUCAAGGCCUAUGUGAAUAUUUUUGAUAUAUUUCUCCAACGGCCAUCUUUCCAUGAACCAGCAACAAAGCUUGGAAUCUCUUGAUCAUCUUGUGAUCUUAGAUCUGGUGGAUUUUAAUCUUAUAUCGCAAUGAAAUUACCCCUAAACAUAGUUUUUCGAUAAAUUGUUUUUAGAUGAUUCUUUGCAAUGCUCGCUUUAUUAAAUAUUUCAGAAAUUUCAAUUCAAGAACACAAUAGUGUAAUGCUCUCUAUAUUGUAUAUUUCUGAAAUUUUGAUCCAAGAACACAAUAAUGCAAUGAUUUCUUUGGGUAAUUCUUUGUAAUGUUCUCUUUGAAUGAUUCUUUGAUUUAAGAACUUAUGUCGAUUAUAAAGGAAAAAAACUGGUUUUUUAUUCUUUAAAUAUUUUCAAUCAGCAUAUUUAAUAUUCAAAUUAUUCAGCUUAUUUAUUUUUGGACUAAACGUUGACUAUACAAAAUUAAGAUAAAAUAGUCCACAAUUAAAAAGAAGGAAACUAUUAAAUUAUUUUCGUUUAUUAAUGGUUGACUGUUUUGUUUCUAUAUAUGUGCGGUCAACAGUUAAUUGAAAAAAAAUUACAGAAGUAAUACUUGAAUAUUAAAGAUUUUUUUUUUUGAUAAACAAAUACUUGAAUAUUAAAGAUGCAUAUUCCAAAUACUAGGAAUUAAAAGCUCAUUUUGUCCAUAAACUGCAUGUAUACGUACGUCUUUGUAUCAUAUAUUGCAUCGAAUGUAGAAUUUAACCAAGUCUUAUUAGAUGGAAGUCAUUAAGUAGCCAUCGAAACCUAAUACUAAUAACGCUUUGGUAUAAUAAAUAGUUUAAGAAGUACAAUUUUGAAUUAACCCUAUUUGUUUUUUAAUAUUUACCUCUGUUCGAAAAACGCGCCCGUGGAACCCGAUUACGCAGCGCCGAUACGCUCGUCGGAGGUCCACCGUGGCGAUUUCAUCAUCCUCGGCCAAGAAAUCGGAUUGAUCAAAAAAUUCAUUCUUUUUAAAGUUUUAGGUGUUUAAAUCGCAUGCUGGAAAGUAGAUCUAUGAGUUUGAUGCAUAAACAACAAGAAAAGCUUAUAAAAUUUGUGGUUUUUGACAAAUCUUUGUUGAAGGCGACGAAAAUAGUUUUGCAGAAAACCUAAAUAAAACGCAAGGAAAAUAUGACUUUAUUACAAUUAUGCCAUUCACAUAAAAAACGCACAAAAAUAUCCAAAAAGUACCUUAUGGGCUUCAAUCACCGGUACAAAUAAACUAACACCUGUCCAUUUACCAUGGGGUUACAUUACUUUUACUUGUUUCUUUCCCUAACUUCACAUAUAUAUAGCUAUAUGUAUUUAAAUUUUAAAAUAAUAAUUAAAAUUACUCCCCGCGUAUACCUCGCUUAAUCUCUGAUUUUUCGAUAACUUGCUAGAUCCGGAAUUACCGUCCGACUAACGCCUAGCGUAGUUUUAAACAGGAAAUUUACAGCCGAAUGUCAUUGACAAUAACAAUGCUCCUUCAAUCAAUCAUUAAAAUCCAUUUCGUAUUUAAGUUUGUGGCCAGAAUUUUCUUCAUCUACAUAAAAAGGUAAUGAUUAUUAAUUUCACCAGUUCUGCAUAUGUAAUCACACGAAAUAUAAAAACAUAAAAUUGAAACCAAACUGAAUUCAUUUGCGAUUACAUUCUAAUGUACUAUAUAACGAACCAUGUCAAAUAAUUAAUUUGUUUUCAGUUUUAUGUAUAGUAAUAAUAUUUACAUAUAAUUAUUAACCAAACCAAGUCAAGUGUUAUAUAUUAAUUGUUUGGGAAAAUAAAAAAUCUCCACAUGAUCUUAAUUAGCUCAACUAAAAAUCAUUUUGUCUAACAAAAUACUAAAUUAACUAUAUUUUUCUUAAAAUAAAUCGUUAGAUUGAUACAUGCGGACUGUUAGUAAUAUGUAUAGUAAUAGUAUUUACAUAUAACUAUUAACAAAACCAAGUCAAGUGUUACAUAUUAACCAAACCAAACAAUUGUUUGGAUAAAUAAAAAAAUCUACACACAAUCUUAAUUAGCUCAACCAAAAAUCAUUUUUUCUAACAAAAUACUAAAUUAACUAUAUUUUUUCAAAAAUAAAUCGUUAGGUAGAUACAUGCGGAAUGUUAGUAAUAUAUUGGAUUGAAGAUAUAUGAAUGCUUAAUCAGCUCCAAAGAAUAUUGCAAUGUCAAACACUUUACCUCUAACUUAGCUUAACACCACCCUAAUUUUUGGCUGUCACAUAAAACAAAAAGACUUCGAUCUAUAACAUAUAUAAUCUAGAUUAACAACCAUAAUAUUUAUUUCAUAUAUACUAUCACAUAAAUGGAAAAGAAAUUAGCUUUCUUUUAAAGAAAUUAUAUUAGCUUUAAAAACUUUAUACAACAUUCCUAUUUAUAAGGAAGAUAAUCGUUUAAUAGGAUACAAAAUAAAUAUUCUAUCGAUUAAACCAAUCAUAAUCAAUUUUGUAAAGUAUUUAUUCAAAUCUAAAAAUUCUAAGCUUAACUAACCAAAUAUGAGAUAUUUUAAAAAUUGUCAGAAUCGGUAAUUUAUUGUAUAUAUUCUAUUAAAAUUGAAGUACAAAAUAAUAUUUAUAUAUUUGUAAUUGAUUUUUUCAAUCUUCUUCCUUCAUUUUAACUAAUUUAAACCAAUUUAUUUAUUGUAUUUUCCAAAUAAUUCUACUUCAUUUAUAUUUAUUAUAGAGUACAAAAUAGAACUUACAUACUCUUAAGUGUUUUUAUUACAUCUUUUGCAACUCUUCUUUGUCACUCUUCCUAAUUACUUCAUCAACUAUAUUAAGCAUAAUAAUUUGACAACACUUAUUUUAAUUUUUACCAAAAUAAUUUCACAAGUUUGAAUGAAAUUGAUUAAUUCAUGACAAGAAUUCAAUCGAUUAAUAAUUUUUUUAUUUGUAUAAAGAAUCAGUUAGACAUGAGCAUUCAGGUAACUGUUCGGGUACAGAUCGGUUUUUGAGUAUCAGAUUUUAGGGUUUAAAAUUAAAUUUUGUUUGGAUAUUAUAAAUUUUUGGACGAAGUUCGGAAUCGGAUCAUUUUGGAUUAUGAUAGACUUGUAAGGACCUAAAAAUAUCUAAAUAACCUAUGUAUUUAUAAUGUCAUUAUAUAAUUUAUAAAAAAGUAAAAACUUAACAUCAACACAGACGUGCAGGUCAAGCUCUAGUUUUGUUUUAAUUAAAAAAAGACAAUACCUAGGUUAAGGUGUAGUUUUGUUUUAAUUAAAAAAAGACAAUACCUAGGUUAAGGUGUUUGGGUAUUUGUGUAAAUCUUUGUGAAAUGAUUAUUAAACAUGUACCUGAUUUAAUACCCAAAAUAUAUCAAAGUAUUAAUAAUUUUCAAAUAGAAGUUAAAAAUAUCUAAAAUUCUUAGAAAAAUCUUAAAAUUUUAAUUUAAUUUUAAUUUAAUUUUAAAUUUUAGAAAAAGUAAGUAAAGUGUGAUAAUCUUAAAUUGUGUAAUAAAAGUUUAUUGUAAAAUUUUAGUUUGAAAAUGUAUAGAUUGAUAGAUAUGAACUUAAUAUAUUUUUCAAUACAUAAAUUUAUAUGAAAACAAUGAUCGUAUUUAUUUUAUAAAACAAUAAUAAUUAUUAAACAUAAAAGUUGGGUUAGAGAAUUUAUAUCAAAAUGGACUAAUAACUGAAUUUUUUUGGUUAACUACUAAUUGAAUUCUAAAAAGAUCAAAAAGUCAUUCUUAAUAUUUUGGGCCAAGAAAAUUAAAAAGACUGCCAUUUGUUAUUAUUCUGUUAGGUUUUUAAACUCUCUAGGAAGAUAAAGAUUAAUCGUUUAUGUUUUUUGUUAGCAUAAGUUUAGGAAAUAUUUUGGUUGUUUUAGUUAAUAUUAUUAGCAUGCCAAUCGUUUGUCACAUUCCCUUUAUUCAUGAAUAUAUUCUAAAUUUUAAUAAUACGGAAUUUGUUAAUUCUAAAUUUUAAUACAUCUACUCUACUAAUUAAUACAUCUGCAAUAUUUCGUAUAUAUAUACUUCAAUGUUUUAUAACAUGUGUCAAUGAUAAAUAUGGAUGGAUUCUAUCAUCCACAUAUAUAUUGUCCAUUACUGAAAAAUGCAUGAUGAUGAUGUAUGCAGGGCCGUCUCAAACUUUACGGAGACCCUGUUCAAAAAAAAAUAAGACCCUUUAUAAUAAUCUAAAAUAAUUUAUGUUUUUUCUGACAGAAUAUUGUAAUAUAUAAUAAAUACACCAAUCUAAUUUAAUUGGAAGAAGCAUUUUUUUCUUUUAUAAUUGAAAACUUAUGAAAAGCAUCUUUUCGGGACUAUGAAUUUUUCAGUUUUUUUUUCUUUUGAUUCUUUUUGUAUCUACAGUUAAGAGUUAUAAUCUAUAAAAAAACACAAACAAAACAAUAGAAUCUUGAUAGUGGUUAGAAAAAAAACCGUGGACUCUUGAUUUGAUUAAACAAGAAAUUGGAGACUCCUCAGUUUUAUUCUUUGAUAGAUGCUUAGACUAAUGUUUCUUUUUUGUGUUUACUAUUUUUUGUAAAAGUUGCUGAAAAAUUAUAUAUUUCCCUCUUUAUUUACAAUCACUAAUUAAUAUAGUUUCCUAAAUAUAAUCAAAUUAGAAUAUUAACUUUCUAAAUUUACAUUGAAUAAUAAAUCAAACACCAACAGCUAUUUUUUACUUUCCAAAAUAUAUAAUUGAUAUAAUGUUAAUUUCUUCCUGACUUAUUGCAUUUUUGUUGGUUAUGUAAACAAAAUCAAAUUUGUAAUUUACAUAUAUUGUUUAAUAAAUAUGAAAAUUAAAUUAAAUAUAGUUAUCUGAUUUUUAAUAAAUACAUGAUUUUAAAUUUAUAGCUAUUACUAAAAAAAAAUUAUGAGUCCUCUAAAAUUUUGGACCAUGUUCGACCGCUCCACUUGCACGUGCUAAAAGACGGCCCUGGAUGUAUGUGUAGAUUUGUUUUAUUAGUGUAUUGUAAAGAAUAAUAAAUAAGAGUCCAAGAUUCAAAUGCAAAAGUAAUUGACAUAAUUUUAUUUGGACAGUCGAAGAUUCAAAUACAAAGUUAGAGUUAUGAAUAAUCCAAACUCGUAUUAAUGUUUUCACGUAGGAGAAGUAUUGUUAUCAUUGUAUAACCGUGAAUAGACUUUAUUUGUAGAAGGAGAGUUAUAAUGUACUAGAUACGGACCUUUUUUGAUGUUUUAACUUUACGAAAAACAUAAAAAGAAUGAAAAUAUUUUUCACAUUAGUUUUUAAAUUUUUUUAGUAUAUAUUGGUGUAAGACUUAUUUUAGUAUAAUAAUCAAUUUUCUUACAUAAAUUGUGAUUAGUAUUACUACUUCAGUAAUGGUGUUUUAAAAUAGUCUAUUAAUUUUUUUAUUUUUCUAUAAAUAGUUCACUUUAAAUUAUUUUUAAUAUUAUAGUUAAUUAAAACAUAUAGAAUUGAUGUAAACUAUCUAUAUUAUUUAUAUUGUGUAAGAAAAUUCAAAAAAAAUCAAAAUUAAUGUUAGACGAUACUAAUACUCUCAAAAUUUUGCACAUGAUAUGCUAUCAAUAAAAAGGCCUCACUCAAGCAAAAUAAUGUUGGCUUCAAAUAAUGGUGAGGGUUAAAGGGUAUGAGAGUGCUAUUUGGGUAAACAAAGAUAUAGGUCGCUGCAAAGACCCCCUCUGGUGCUCUUUCUCGCCCAAAUGAUCACUUUCCUACUCCUUUUUUUUUUAUCCCAAAUGCCUCCAAAUACUUCGAAGAACUCCAAUGGAUACUCCCACACCUAAUAAAAACUUAUGCAAUGCAAAAGGGACCUAAAAAAUGCCUCAAUUCUAUUCUAAAUGAUCAAAAUGUAUAGGAAUGAAUGAUCAAAACAAUGUAAAUAUGCAAGAUAUUAGACACCAAUCAAUAUGCAUUAUUGAUAUUCAGCUAAAUAUCAAAUAUAUUGCUUGAUAACCAUCAAAUUUGUUUCCCGCUAUACCCUACCUUAGCAUCAAUAGUGUGACUAUAACCUCUUUCUAUAUAUCAUAUAUUUCUGAAUUUUUUUUGAUAUACAAUAUUUUGUAGAACACUAUUGUCGAUAUGUUUUGUGUCUACUUUAAAAAUUCUGAAUUCAUGCAGUUGUUGUGACUCUUUGAUAGUGAAGUGUACAAUUGUCCAUGAGAGAUCAUCUUGCAUCUGUUGAUGUGAGACUUGUUUUAGGAAUAAGAAUCUGUUGAUUAUUGAUCUCGGUUAGGAUUUUUCUGCUUCAGUAAUCAUGUUGUCUAGGCUAGUUAUUAGUUAAAUUUUUACAUUGCAAAUUUCUUUUCGAUGAUUUAAAUUCCUUAAUAACAUGACUGAAACAUCUAUUUUGAGAUCAAGUUCGUGAUUUGGAAUCCCUGAAAAAAUUAACAUAUUUAAAAAUCUGUGGGAUAUAGAAUAUGCUGAUUUAUAACUUCUUCUUUGUUGUUACCAAUACUAUCAGAACUCAAAUGUUCCUUUUGCUCACCGUCUAAGCACUUUAACAUAUAGUUAUCUAUUUUACCAACCCUUUCAUUCCUUAUUCUUUGGUGUAAGCAUUGCUUUUUUGAUGAGAUAAUUCUUGUCUUCAAAAGUAAAUUUGGAAAUCUUGAUAUAUAGACAUUGUAAUGCAUUCAAAAGGAGCUGCAUUCUUUUGCAAGAGCAAUUUGUUGUCUAUCAAAGAAGGUAAAUCAUGUGAACAUCAGUUUAGAUGUGAAAGGACAUGCAGAAAAUCUCACCUAAAUAGAAAAGUCGAUUAUUCAUAAUAAAUUAACAUUAACUUAACUACAACAAUAUAACGAAUUUAUAUUGUCGAUAAGAACAAACACAUAUAAGCAUAAUAGUCACAUUAACUUUUGUACAGCAGAAUAACUGCAUAACAUCUAUUUGACUAUAUGUACAAACGCCAAAGUGUAAUUGUGGCAAUAACUAACGUACAUCAUCAUUACAAUUAUGACAAAAAAAUCAACAUCAGUUUAAGAAGAAAAAAAAACAUGUGAAGAUCAGGAAACCUAGUUAUUUCAAUCAUAUGUUACAAUGCUAAAAAAAAAAUCAUCCUUUGUCGUUCACAUGGAUGCAGAGUUACCGAUCUGGUUUACAGAGUCAACAUGAGUUUGUAAAUUCUUUGCUGUCAAAAAAAAAUCAUAGUUUACAAUUAUUUUUUCUUUAGGAUUUUAGAAAAGGGAAAUUAAUAUUAAAUAAAUUAUUUUAUAAAUAUUUUUUUGUUUAGGAUUAACAAAAAGGAAAAUUUCUAGAAACAGCUACUAUUAAAUAAUUUUUGAAAUUAAUACUUACUAUUAAAUCAUUUUUAAAAUUCGUUUUUAUUAUCUUAGCAUAUAUAUAUUUAAUCAUGAGAGAUUUUAACACAUGUCGAUAUAUUAAAAGGAAACCCACUAUCACAUAAUUAUCUGCUUAAGAUUUUUAAAAAGAAAAAAUAUUAUUAAAUAAUAUUUACAUUUACUUUUUUACAAAUUUUUUUUUUUGUUAUUAUCUAAUUAUAUAUAUUUUUAAUUAGGAGAUAGUUUAACACAUAUCAUAAUUUUGAAUAUAUAUUUGCUACAUGUCACAAUCGUGUUAAUUAACAACUUUGAAAACCAAACUUUAUAUAAUAAGAUAACCAAAAUAUAAGGAAUGAUAAUUAUCUCUUAUUUCUCACGUUAGGUCCAAAUUUAAAUAAUAACUAAAUAAAAAGUAUGAUUCUAAAUUAAUAGAUUAGAUUAAGUGGAUGAAGUUGAAUGGGAAAAGAUCUGACUGUUUGCUCCAAGAAGGAAUGUAUGUACAUUCAUUUAACACACAAUAACUGCAAAUAGAGAUCAUAACAUUGAUAUGUUCCAUUUGUUGUUCAUUCAUCGAACAGGCUUUGUGUCGAAGCUGCUUAAACAAAUGGCAAAAGCUUGGAAUGCGGAGAUCGGGUAACGAUAAUCCAUGGUGAAUGUAUCUUUCCCUAUCUUCCCAAACUGCAGUAUCACUCUCUCUUGUUCCUCUUCAGGGAUGUUCAUGUCCUUCCCUGCUUCUGCAGCAGCAGCCAUUAGCUGGAAGUUUUUCACGGAGGCAACCGUGACUCGUCCUUUGAAGUUAAGACACCAGCACUGAAGCUGCUCGUGCCAUCUGGGCAACUUGUUUUUCAGGACUAAUGGUUCCUUCACGACGGAUUCUCCUCCCAAGUUCCCUGACCAGAAAUCAAUCAGCCCUCUCUUCUUCUUGCUUCCUAGGUUUGACAACUCGGUCGGAGUAUGAAUCUGUCCCCCUUCUUGAAUAGAAGAAACUGGGAUAGUGUUCAUGAUACAUUGCAUUCUUCUUGGACCUCUGGUUCUAAGGACAUUCAGCUCAUACAAGAUCGAAGCCAUGCUGUAACUGUGAGUAGAUGAAGUUACCCAUGGAGACACACGCAUCGUCUGUGAUAGUUUCUUGUUAAAUGAUCUUCGGGAAUCAACCGGAGAAGGUUGGUUUUCGUAAACCGUGAACUUAGUUCCAAGGAAAUUCGAUCUAUCCACCCAACAACAAGAAGGAAAGUUAUAAAUGUCAUGGCGAUAUUAAACGAUCAAAGAUGACAAAUAAGGUACCUUAGUUUCCCAAUAUAGUUACUGCUACUUCUUGAGAAGUCCUUUCCAGACAAAGAUACAAUAAACUCAACACCAGUCGCCCUCCUUACCCUCUUAGCCGAUAGCAAGAGCUUACUCUUGUCCCCGGUAAGCGCUGAAACCAUACAGACAUUAAGAUGACAACACAUAGUCCCAAGACUCACAAGAAGUAAGAGAAGUUAAAACUACCAGGGCUUAAACCAAGAUAGAGACGGUAUAUCCCAGUGGCUCUCUCCCGUUUGAUAAAGCAUUGAAUCGGAUCAUCUCUAGGGCCAGGCUGAGACAAGAACCCCCAAUGUCUUUUAGCUCAUCACUUCCAACGAUUACAAGAACGUUCUAGAAAGAGUAUAAACCUGUUUUAAUGAAACUGGAAAAGUGAGGAGACCAGAGAUCUCAGGAACCUUAACAACUUCUUUAGUCAUCUCCCUCCAGGCCUUACAAACCGAGGCGCAAGCAACAACGUCUCUCCUCCCCGGCCAUGAGGUCUGACCAGACUCGAUUCGAUGGAUGAUGUCAAGAAGCAGCUCCGGAGGCAAAUCAACCCAAACGCUCUGAUAUAAACAAUCAUCAGCAGCUGAUGGAGAAGGAGAAGAUCCUUCUGGAGCAAUGUGAGACCUUCCUCGUCUACCAUUGGCUUUGUUGUUACGACCCCUAAGCUCGCGUACUAUGUUCUUCAACGGCAUUUCUACAAUUCAACUUCUCCUACGGACCCCCAAAUCGAUCAAACGAAGCAAAAAAAAAAACCCUAAUUUGUACCUUCAACAAACGAACAAAGAUUAAAUCAUGAAAAGGGCAUUAUCGUGUAAUGAAAACGAGAGAGAGAGAGAGGGGAUGUAUGUACCUAGAGAAGCGACAAAUCCAUGGGGAAUCACGACGAUCGGGGUGAAUUCCGAUUAAGAAAGUCUCGAAUUGAGAAAUUUUAAAACGCUCCUUGAAAGUAAAUAGAGCCGCCACCACCACAACUCCUCCGAUGUUGUUAACCGUCGCCGUCGUUAGGUUUGAAUCCCGACGACGACAAUGAUUUCGAGGAGAAGGGAGAGAGAAAGAGGAGACGGGAAAGUUUCCGUUUUCUUUUUUAUUUAUUUAUUUAAUUAAUAAGAGUAGGCGCGGCCCCAUCUCUCCCUCCUUUCAAUUGAAAUUAGUAAAUUACUCAAAAUAGGUUUUUAUCUCUUUUUUUUAUUUUAUUCUCUUCCAUUUUGGUCAAAUUACUUUCUCACAAGUUUUUGUUUAAGUUAUUAACAUAAAAAGAAACUUUCUGUCUUUUUAUUACACCAUUAGACAGAUUUCACUACUGAGAUAGUUUGUGGAAGUAAAAUGACAACACUAACCCUAACAACACUCACCUUUUGUAGAUUGUGAAAAGCACACUAUCUCUUUUAUUCUUCUUUUAUUUACAGUCAUACUUUUUUUUAUAAAUAAAAUUGUUUUCUUCUUCUUUAUCUCUUUCAUCAUCUUCUUUUCUCUUUUCCUAUGUCGAUAAAGUGGUUAUGGAUCAAAUUAAACUGAUUUGAAACAAAGAAACAAAAAUCUAAGCGUGCAUACACCUCUCAAGUUCUGAUGGUGGAUUUUCUGAAUCAAAGUCUUAAUUCGUUGGUCUAUCUUAUUCUUCUCCAUCUCUACCUUCAUCCUCCACAAGAAUAACCACCAGAGAAAUAUCAUUAAAACGAGAUGUAGCCAUAAGUACAAAUGAAGGCAAAGAGAAAGUGGCUAAGAAACCCGAUGUAUCUCCACCUCCUGUUCAAUCUCCGUCUCAGCCGUAGAGGAAGCUAGAUGAUGUAAAUCCAGAGAGAUUGGAACUAAGUUGACCGCAGCUUGGCGAGGUAAGAUUACAUUUAAUAUAUUUGUUUUCUCCUGCUUAAUACUGAAUUUCAAUUAUAAAGUUGAUCUCUGAUUCCAAAAGAUGCAGCUUGCUUCCUUUAGAUUUGUUUUUUAUUUAUUUAUAUCAACUCAGCUUAUUAUGUAUUACCUUUGAAACUUAGCUUUAGAUGAUUCACAAAGUAUAUAUGAUUUUUGAAUCUAGUAUUUUGAAAUGACUUACAAAGCUAAUUCAGAUCUGUAUGGAUCCUAGAGAAACAUAAGGUUCUGAUUUUAUGUUAUAUUGUUAUAUGAUGUAUUUGUUUUGUUGGAAAUGUUGGUUUGAACGAUGUGUCUUGAUUGAAUUAUCUAUUAUUCUAUUUUUUUGUUCUUGGACGGACAACUCCAUAAUGUGGACAAGUAUUGGCAUGGAGUCAAAGACAAGAAGCUAUUCAUGUGUACGCCGCGUGUAAGUUGUCAAUGUGUACGCCUUGUGUAAAUUGUCCAUGUGGACAUCUCAGUUGUCCAUGUGGACAUCUCAGUUGUCCAUGUGAACGACAUUUGGUGGGAAUGUCUUGUACUAAGUAAUAUUAUUAUAAUUUUUUUGAUUGUGAAAGCCAUGUAUAAGAAAUAUCAGAUGUUGCAUUGUCCGUACAUAUAUUCUUGAACACUUGUUUGGUACCACAAAUGCCAGCUGUGGCGCAUCGACCAAAAAACGGGUACCCAUUGUGUAUGAGAGAUAUACAACAUUGAAGCUGGCUUAGUAAGAAGAUUUGGUAUGUUUUAGAGGAGAAGCAUUGUCCAAGUAAAAUAAACACUCGCAUUUUUUGUUUGCAAGUGUUUUACAUGUACAUGUACUCGUAGGUGUCCACAUGUACGCAUGCACGUUGAUGUACACAUGUAUACUGAUGUUUAGUCUUCAAGACUUGAUUCAAUCAUAUUUAUUUAUGGUGUAAUAGUUGCAAAUAACUUAAUAAAAUACAAAUCUUUCCAUCUGAUUCAUCCAAUUUUCUUUUGAUAUGGAAAGUUUGGUAUCCAAUUCGAUCUAUGUUGCUAAGAAGGAAAAAAAUUGGAGCUUUUACAUACGUAGUGAGGACUUUUUUUUUUGGACAAACCGUAGUGAGGACUCUCUUUGCUUCAUAUAAGUGAAAAAUUGUAAUGAAAGUUUAAGAAGGAUUAUUAUCAAAGAAUUUAUAUUUAUCUUACGUCUCUUUUUUAAACUGAUGUACACGUGGACAGUCAAACAUUGUGUACACAUGGAUAGUCAAAUAUAUAUUUACACGUCGAUGGUAUUUGUCAGUAUAUAUGUAAAACAUUCAAAUGCUUUCAUAUGUGUGUAUUAGAUUACUAAAUGUUAAUAUUCAUUGCAACGGCAAAUCAUUGUCCAUCUUUUACUCUUUUGUACACAUAAAUGUACAUGUAGAUACUGAGAAUUAUGCGUACAUGUGGAAUACUAUUUUGUAACAGUAUAUAUGUUGAUCAGUGAAAACACAUCAAGAGACGUAAGAUAAAUAUAAAAUAUUUGAUAAUAAUCCUUCUUAAAUUUCAAUUACAACUUUUGACUAUCUAUGUGUACACAAUGUUUGACUGUCUACGUGUACAUCAGUUUAAAAAAUGUACAUGUACACUGAUUACAAACCAAACAAUGAUCUGUGUAAUUCACAAAGACGAAUAUGUGCAUUCAAAAAUUACAAAUCUUUACACCUUUAACGAUGACAACCGGAGUCGUUGUUCAGUUCAAUCAUAACCGCUUCAUUGAAAUUAUAAGGAAGCAGCCAUAUGCACAAACCGAGUUCAUCGAAGUUAUCUAUCCAUCACCAGAACGAUGGUUAAAUCCACAGUGGAAGAUGAGACGAGGAUUCCAAACGUUGAUGUUGAUGAUUCCAUACAAACUUGAUAUCUCAUAAUCAUACCUCACAUUUACCUUCGUCAUCCUUGUCGUCGCCGUCUUCAUCAUCAACUCUGUCAUCCUCUAUUUCCUCAUCUUAUUCUUCUACUGGUUCUAUAUGAGGCCGACUAAGGGUUGUAAAAUCGAACUCCAUCGUCACGUGUUUUUCAUCUUUAUCAUAAUCUUCAUCUUCUUCUCCACAUGAUUUGUUUUACAGAAAAAAAAUUGUACGAGAAAGACAAGAAAAGAAUUUAAGAGAUAAGGAAAGAGAAAGAGAAAGAGAAAAAGAGAUUGAUUUAUGGCCACAUAAUUCUUUUUUUUGGUAUUUUUGUUAGAUUUAAAAGAAAAAUAAUGAGAAAGGGUAAUAAUGAAUUUUCAUACGCUGAAAAGAGGAGAGAAGGUGUUGAAAUGAGAGAAAAAGUGUGUAGGUAGUUGAAACUGUCCUAGAGUGAAAUAAUAAACUCAAAAACUGCCUUCUAGUGUAAAUCUUUCUUUUUGUUUUUGUAUUUUAUUCUUCCAACAAGAAAAUACUUUAAAGCAAAUCUCCUAAGAAAAACACCGAAAACCUUUUUUGACCAAAAAGACGCAAAAGGAAAAUGAUUUUAAAUAAAUUUAUUAAAGAGGUAAAUGACAAGUAUACCAUUACUUUAUAUACGGUAAAACUCUAUAAAUUAAUAAUGUUAAGACAAGGAUAUUUUAUUAAUUUAUAUAAUUAUUAAUAUAAAAUAAAUUUUAUUGUAUUAUUUGGUGUACAUAAAAUAUGUUUCAUAUAAUUGAAGUGUUUUUCAAGAUGUAAUUUUACUAAAUGUUAUCAGAAUAUAUUAAAAAUGUUAAGAAAACAUAGAUAAAUUCUAUUGCUGAUAUAAAAUAAACAAUAUAUUAAUGUGUUUAUUAAUUUACUGAGUAUUAAUUUAUAUAGUUUCUACUGUAUAUAAAUAUAAAUAAAUAAUAAAAUAUUAUUUCCCAAAAGAAAUUUAUUCAAUAUUCAAAAACCUUUUUCAAACACAAAUUUCAAAUUUUCUUCUUUUUUCCAAAUUUUAUAUCGAAAUGUGAAAAUUCUUUAUUGAAAAUUUAAAAUUAUUAUUUAAAAUUUUAAAUCUUAAACUUUAAAUCCUAAACCCUAUCCCCAAACAUUACCCCUAAAUUUAAACCCUAAGUUUAGAUUAUUUAACCAUAAGGGUAAACUUAUCUAUUACUUCUUUAAUAAAAUAUUUGAUUAUUUUGAUCCUUGUAAGCUAUUUUGUGAUUAAAAAAUUAAUGCUAUCAUAUGGUUUAUCUAUUGGCCAUAUUAAAAGAGUAUUUUUAUUAUAAGAAAUUGAGAAAUACUCUAUGAUAAAUAUACAAAACUUUAUCACAAAAAUAGUUCUAAAAGUCAAAAUGAUCAAAAUAUGUUUUAUUAACGAGAUAAAAGAUAUUUUUACUGUUACAGUUAACUAAGUUUUUUAACACUGGUUAGUUAUGCUAUUACAAACUAUGAAAAACAUUACAUAUACGAUAUUACAGCCGACAAUUAUGUUUGUCUUAUGAGGAUUCAUGUCUGACUACAUCACCUAGAGUCGCCCUAUGAGAUCCAUUCCUGAUGGUACUCUUUGCGCCAUGUCGAAGAUCUCUUAUAAGCUUUUUCUCUAAUAUUCUGCAUAAUUUGCCUUCUACAGAAAUUGAAACUCAGAUCUCCUGAUUUAAAAACAUUAAUGAACCUUUAGUUAAACCACUGGUUCAAAGGGGCUUACGGUCAACUAAUCUAGACUAGGUUUUAGUUAGGGAGAUAGGUUUAUAGUGUUUAUAAAUUUAAAAUAAUAAUUUUUUUAAAAAAUAGGAAAAAAGUUAGGAAAAAAAUAAUCAUAGAGAACUGAUGUGUGGCGUCUAGAACGUGCACCUUGAAAACCAGCCCUUCAAAAAAUUUCAAUAAAAUCCAUGAGUCCUUCCUUUGCCUUGCAACAUCUUCUUCCACAGGUCAAUAGUUGAAACUCUUUCCGGAUGAACGUUGAAUAAUGCUUGAGAAACUAGGUUUACACAUCGGGAAAAUGUCGAUGGAAUUCUCUAUGAGCCUUGAGAACCAAGUCAAAGCCGGUCCGUUAAGAAUUUCCACGAACAAUUAAUAGUAUACUGCAUCUUUCUCUUCGACGGUAAAGUGUGCUUGUCCCACGGUUAUAUUGGACAUGGUCAUGUGAUCACUAGGAUCAGAUUCGCCUGAGAAAGAGGGAUCUUUAGCAUAUAUGUAGGACGAACUCGGCCAUUUUUUGGCAAGGGUGUCUUCUGUUUUUCUUUGAGGACACGCUCUAGCUCAGGAGCCGAACUCGUUACAGGUGAAAUUUUGACGAGCCAUCCAGUAUUGUGUCCCGAAGAACUUUGAUUUUUUGAAUCGUUGCCUGGUUGGUUUGAUGUGUCUGUUGAUUAAGAUAUUCCAUUAGUUUUUGCGUCAAUGUCAUCGUGGUGGUGACAUCCACAACCGGAAGGAUAGUGCAUGUCCCUCUUCGAUCAUCGUCUCCAGCCAUCUCUGAUAUUUCCUGGCAUUGCUUUGUAAUUCCACUCAAACGACGCCAAUCGUUUCAUCUCUUAACAUCGCCCAAGAAACACUUUCUAUCCUAUUCAUCAUCUCCCGCAACACUCCUCUCUCUCUCUAGCAUCACCUCUACACUCCUCUCUCCGGGCCAGGAUUGCCCAUAUGUCUCCUUACUCCUCAAAGGUGCCCAUACCUCCUCAUAACUCCUCAGCAUCACCCACUUCUCCAUUUGUCGUGUUCUUGCUCGAAUCUUGAUCGUUCUUCGUUUUAUCGCAAUCGUAGUUGUUGUUGAGAUUUUUUUCAAAAAAGUUAAUUUGUUUUUAGUUUUUGUAAAAUCUAGCCAACUGUAGAGUUGGAAACUGUUAUUUUAAACAUCUAAUAUGUUUUAGACAAAAUAAAAUGAUUUUUCUCUUUGUAAACUAACAGCACAAAAAAUGCAAUUCGGAGCAAAACGACGAUAUUUCCAAGAAUAGUCAGCGAAACCUUAAUUCUCAAAACAGUCCAAAACAAUCUAAAGCACGAAACAGAACUUUUCACUUAACGUGUAAAGUAACCAAAUAUUAAUGACAUUUUACUUUACUUAGAGAGGAAUAAAGAAGAAAUUAAGAUAAUGAAAGAUUUUCGAAAGAGAUAAACUCGACUCUCGACAAAGAAAGGAAAAUAUCAGAGGAAAUAUGGAAACAAAGCAGAUGUGGAUCAAUGGCAAUAUGGUCGGCCUUGGAAGAAUAUAUAAACAAGGCUAGGCCAGAGAAAAAGGGGGCAAAAAAUUAGCUCUCGAAAGUCUAUGCACUAAAGAAACCUUAAGUUUUAUUUUUGUCUGUUUGCUAAUGAGCUGCAACCCACCUAGGAUUUCUAGGCUUAUGUGGUUAGUCUAGCGAACUUAGAUAGAUUUCGCUACUUUCGCUUAUUCGACUUCCGUUGUAAUUUUGCUAUCCAGAUCUCCUAGUAUAUAAGCAUUAAUGAUAUGUGAUGUCUAAAACGUGCACCUUGAACAAAAUUUUGGUUUGGGUUUAGUUUGGGUUUCAAGUUCAGGUUUUUUUGCUGAGGCCUAACCCUACCAACAUAAGAGAGUUUAAGUGAGGAAAUUUUAUUUAUCAAUUUUGUUUCCUAAGAUUAUCAUAUAGUUCUUCAGACAAGUGUAGAAAGGGCAGAAGAAAAGUAAAAUUAAUUCAAAUAUACAAUAAGCAUCAACUAACAUCGACUUAGAAACAAAAUUCCACAUUGACUUAGUGAACAUAUGCAUCCCAAUCCUAAAAUUGUAAACUCUAUGUUUCAUACGUUUACGAUUAGAUUAUAGGUCAAAUACAUAAGGACAAUAAUAUUUAUGUAUAAAUAUAAACUAGGUGUUUGCCCGCAAUUUUGCGGAUAGUUAUAUUAUAUAAAGAUAUAUAUCUUAACUUUACACUGUUAUAUUUUUUGAAUAAUAAUUAGAAAUUUAAAAUAUUUGGAUAAUCAAAUAUUUGGAUAAUCAAAAAUUUGGAUAAUCAAAAAUUUCAGUAUAUAUUUUUAGAAAAUAUGUGAAAUUUAAAAUAGUUCAAAAACAUAAACCUUAGUCAUUAAAAUUUUUUCUCUUACAGAAAAGAAUAUUAUAAUUAAUUCAGAUAAUUGGUGGUAAAAUUACUUUAUAUUUUAGUUUAACACAUGAAAAACCGAAAAUACUCUAGCUCUCAAGAGAGAGAAAAAAAAAGAGUGCAUUUUUUGUGUAACUUCAAUAUGACCAAUACAAUGAUCGUAGGCUUUUAUCAUGAAAGAUCUUUUGUAAACAGUUUUGUGUGGGCUUUAAAAACAUAAAAUUUAUAAUAAUUUCUUACCUACAAAUAUAAUUCUUUUAUAUAAUAAUAUAUAACCAUUGAAUUUAUUUUCUAUAAAAAUACUAAAGUAGUUUGUUUAAUUAUAUAUAACUAAUUGAUAAAAAUAAAGAAAUUGAUAUAACAUACAUAUAUAUAUAUAUAUAUAUAUAUAUUCUUUCUCUAAUUCUACAAUUAGUUACCAUAAAUCAUUAUUUGUACUAUCAUUUGUGUUAUUUGGUAAUUUGUACUAAUUAGUUCUAGAGUUACCUUUUAUUUUUAGAUCUGAUUAAAAAAAUAACUAAUAAAUUUUAACAACCAAUCAAAUUAUAACUAUUUUUAAAAAAUAAACCUAUUAAAGACACAUAAUCAAAAGUUUAUUAAAUGACUUCUCAAUUAAUAUAUGGUAGGAUUUAUCUCUUUAAAACCAAGGAUUAAUUUGGUUAAGUUAAACAUAAAAACAUGUAUUAGAAAAUGGUAGUUUAAGCAAUUUUCUCAUAAUUUGUCCCAAAUCACACUUUCUCACUCAUUAUUUUUAAUUUAGUGUUUAACAUAAAACUCACUAUUUUAUCAAACAUUAACUCAUUCAACCAAAUGCUUUUAAUUAAAACUAAUCAUAGUUUACAUAUCUUUUAAAAUUAUUGUUUUAAUUUAUUUUAAAUUAAAUUAAAACAUAUCUAUAUUAAUUAAAUCUAUUAACUAAUAAAAAAAAAUAUUUCAAUUUUUAAAUAACUAAAUGUCGUUAUUUUAGGCAUAUAUACUUAAUAUUAAUGUGAGAUCCAAUAUUAUAUGAAAUAAAAUGUUUUUUAUUUGUAUACAUUUUGUUAAAAUUUUAUUAUCGUACAUUUUAAAAGUUUAUUAUAGUUUAAAAAAUACAUCUCACUAAUAUUUUAAAUAAUUUUUUAUUACUUUCAAUUUACAUUAUAUUUUUCAUCUUUGACUUUAACAAUUGUAGAGAUGGUCAUUUUUAUUGAACUUCCUUAAUAAAUUUAUAUCACAUUGUCUUUAGAAAAUAAUUGGAAUUUUUUUAGAAUUAUAUAUUUGACUGUUUUGCAUUCAUUUGACACAUUUUUAUACUAUAUAUAUAGUGAAUAAGUGAAUUUAAUUAAUAUUAUUAAGUUUAGAUUAAUUAGUUUUCUAAAAUAUAUGAUUUAUUUUAUUCACUGCUAAUAUAAAGAUAAUAAAAACCGUUUUUCUAAUUGUUUCUAUAGUAUCAUAUGUAUUUAUAUGUAUCUUAUCAAUUUAUAUAAUGUAAUCUAGAUAUUUAAUUAUUUCUAUAAAAAAAUUAUGUUAAUUCAUCUAUAUUUAAGAUGCUAAAUUGUAUGUUUGGAAAGAUAGAUUAGAUUAGAUAAUUCUAUGAAUAUUUUCAUUUUAAAAACUUUCAUUAAAUAAAUUAAAAAUUAUCAACCAAUCAAAUUAUAACAAUUAAUCUUAUAUAUUAAAAAAGAAGUCAUGACUUCUUUCAUGUGUGAUUUUUUUUUUUUUUGGACCAUCACUUAGAAAUCUUAUUAAAUGUAUUUUAUUAAGAAUAAUAAUACAUAGAAUCUUUAAAAUACUUUAAUCAUAAUAUCUUUUGAUAUCUUUUUAUUUAAAAUAUAAAUAUAUUUAUUUUAAAAAUCUAACAAAUCUGUUUUAAAAGAUUUUUACAAGAUCUUCAUUUUCGAAAUUAUAUUUAAAUAUUUUUCAUUAAUUUCGAAAUUAGUUUGAAAUAUUAUUAUACAUUAAUAAAUUCACUAAUCAUUUAUAAAAUAAAAAAUAAAAAAUUCUGUAAUAUUUUAUAUAUUAUAUAAUCAUGAUCAAUCAUAUUAAAAGAAAAUUAUUAUAUUGAGCUAAGUAUAAUAAAAUUGUAUUAAAUUUAUAAAUUUUAUUUUCAUAAGUAUAAAAUAUUUAUGUUCAAAAAUAAAAUCUAAUAUGUUGGUAAGAUGGAUUAAGCAAAAUAUAUAAUACAUGUAUAAAAAUUAACAUGUAUUUCUUUAAAGCUUAUAAUAUAAAAUCUUUGUCACUACUUUAAUCAUAAUAUAUUUUCAUUUUAAAUAAAAUAUAUAUUUAUAUAUUAUAUUUAAAAAUUCUAAUAAAUCUGUGUAAAAUUAUUUUAACAAUAAUUUAAUAUAUUUUAAGUUAUCGUUUAUAAAAUAAAAAUAAAUAAAUUAUAUCCUAUUUUACCCACUUUAUAGUCAUGAUCAUGUUAAAAUAUAAUUAUUAUACUUAAAUAAAUAUGAUAAAAGUAAAUUCAAUUGAUAAAUUUAUAAAUUUUAUUUUCAUAAAUAUAAAUUAUUUAUUUUAAAAAUAUAAUAUGAUGAUUGAACGCCUUAAAAUUAACAAACCUUAUAAUACAUGUCUAAAAAUUAACAUAUCUUAGACUUUUGUAUAUACAAUAAUAUAUUAUCUAAAAUGAAUAAGCAUAAAAAAUAUUAGUAAAAAGAAAUACAGCUUUGAAACACGGAUCAGAAUUUAGCAUAAAUUAAAUACAAAAUAAUUUUCAAAUAUGUUUUCUCAUGAAUAUAAUAAUUUGCUUAAUAACUAAAUGCAAAUACAAUAAGAUAAAUAUAUAAUAAGAAGUGAAAAUACAUACGGUUUUAACCAAAUGAUUAAUUAUAACAUGUAAAUUAUAAAAUUAUUAUAUUUGAAAUAGUUAUAUAAACAUUUAAGUACUAGUGGUUGGCCCGCCCUACGGGCGGGUUAGUUUACGCUAAAACUAUUGUAUAUGAAAAUAUAUAUUAAUUUUAUAAAUUUUUUAAAAUUUACUUUAAAAUAAAAUAAUAAAUAUAAUAUUUUUUUAAAAAAAAUCAAAUUGUAUUUAUUAAUAUUUUUUAGUUUGAGUUGAAAAGACCUCUACCAUUUUUUGGUUAUAGAUUACAAAAUUAUGAAAUUAAAAAAUUAAGAAAAUGUAAUGAUUUAUAUUUCUAUUUUAUUUCUAUUUCACUUUGAUAUAGUUGAAGAAAAUCUAAAGUAAGAAUAACAUUUUUAAAAAAAAUUCUAAGAGUAUAAUUAUAAUACUAUUACAAUUAAUUAUCGUCUCCCGAUUAUAAAUUAAUCCACUUCCAAGCUAAAUCAAUUGAAAAUAUAAUGUAAUGUAAUAAAAUUAUAAAAUGUUAUAUUUUAAUGUAAUAUAUAAAUAGUUUCAAUAAUUUCACAAAUAACAAUUAAUCUAUAUUAUUUAACAACAAAAUGAUGUUUUAAAACAAACCAAACCAGAACCAAAGUGGACCCAAUAUUUAUUAGUCAGUUUCUACUAUUGUUGUCCAACUGGAACAAAAACAUUAACAGACAAAUUGAAAUUCAUAAAUAGUCAGUUUCAUUGUUCAUUGUCUAAACACAACAUGAAACACUUUGGUUGCCUCUAUACCAUUUGGUUUUCGGUUCGAUUAUGGUUUUUGUUGGUUUUCCGGUUCUAAAGAUAUAGGUUACCGUUCAAUUAUUUAUGAAUUUCACUUUCGCUAUUUUGGUUUUUGUUCCAGUUUGGAUAACAAUAGUAGAAACUGAAUAAUAAAUUUUGGGUCCAUUUUGGUUCUGGUUUGUUUGUUUUUUCGGAUAAUUCUAGAUAAAUCGGGAAAUUGGAGAUCUUUGUAUUUUUCAGAUAAAAUAUCAGAUAAUUAAAAAAUAUUCUACAUUCUUUUGGGUUAUUCAGAUAUUUUAGUUACUUUGGAUAAAAAAUAUUUGAUUUUUUUCGAGUAGUUUGAUUUAUAUGUAAUAUUUUUAGAAUAUUUGGUAAUUUAUAAACUUAAUGUAAUUAAUAUUUUAAGCAUAUGAAAUGAAAUUUAAAUUUUCUGAUUUGAUUUUUUGAUUCAAUUCCGGUUUGGUUUUCGAUUCUCGUUUAUAUACCUAGACAUAGUUGCUUUAAGCUUUUACACAAACACACAAAAGAGACUAUUUGAAAAUAAAUAUCUAGAAAGUAUAACAAUAAUCUGUAUGCAAUGGGUAUAAAAAAGAAAUGCGGGCUUUCCUCCCUCAUGAACUAACAAUACUACAAUAACUUAAAGACUCUUCUUUUGGAAUAGAUGGAUCUGGUCUUCCUCAAGUACUUCAAGCAUUACCCAAAAGAGUAAACAUCAGACUUCCCAGUCAAUUGUUAUCUUGUACUGGUCUGGAUCAAGAUAAUGAAUCUUCCUAUACCGUCAUACUCACACGUGUCUGGUCAAGAUCUGGACGUCUUAAACAAUCCAAAUUCUGAAACUUUGUCCAUGAAAUUCUCAUCGAAGAGAAUGUUAUCAUACUUCAUAUCGCGGUGGAUGAUACCUCUUGCGGAAUCUGUAUGGAUAUAGUGCAGGCCUCUAGCUGCACCAAGACAUAUCUCAAGCUUCUGUCUCCAGCUCAACCUUGGGCGAUCCAAGUCAUGCACAAUAGUCCUCUUAUUGUUCUCACUGCAAUGCCCGAUUAAAGAAACCAAAUGCAUGUGUAUGAACUGGGACAACAUUUCGAUCACUGUCCUGAAUUUAUUGAUGUAAAGCUAUAGCUGGUUAGUAUAUGUAUUUGAAAAAACCAUUACCUACUGUGGUUGAAGAUUCUUACGGUCCAAUCAGAUUGAUUGCUUCUGGUGGUAGACCAUAUAAUUAAAAAGCCUACUUUCCUCGUUUGCCUUGUAUCUCAAGGACCUCCUGCACUCAAAAACAGAGAACAGUUCGAUUCAAUUAAUUUUUAACACAUUGAGUCAUUCGUUAAUGCAAAAGUGGAACUUUUUGUGGAAGUAAUUCUUGAUUGUAUUACUGAUGAAGCGCUCAGGUGCUUAAUUUCAUUUUCUCCACGUCCCUAAUACUCGAUACCACAUCAUCAUCACACCUGAAAAAAGAGGAAACUUAAAAGAUUAAUAUGUGCCUCCAAAAAUUCAUAUAAUUCAGAGACUCAUGAAGAAACAAGACUUCAAAUGAUGCUAGCCUUCUUUUGACACUAAACACAGUUGGAGUGUUGUCAAGCAGUGGGUUUCCUUUGGGAAGUUCCUCUUCUUUGGCGUUUAGCUCUUCAUUUGCUGCUGCUUUUCCUGGAAAAAUGUAAAUAAUAAAUAUUAAGAUACAACUUUCAUAUGUCAAUGUGUUUAGAAAAAACUAACGUAGUCAUUUUGUUAUAAUUGUAAUCUGAAAUCAUCUCACAGACAAGAACACAUACCUUCCUGAGCCUCUUUAUUUAUUUAUCUGGUCUAGUUCAGCCAUAAGAGAUCCAGUCUCAUCCUCAUCAUCGUCACUUUCUUUAUAUUUAAGAAAGACAACCAGAUCGUAAGAUAACUCAAAGGAAAUUACAAGUCUCAGUUGAUAUAAGUCAUCAAAAACUCUCAAAAAGGAUAACACUGAAGCAAUUGCAUAUUCCCAAACCAGGGCUCUGAGGAAAAGCAUUAAAUCUCAAGCAAAGAAUCUUUAGAAGUUUAAAGCACAAAAGAUGAACUGCAAUAGGAAGGAAAGAAUGGAAAAUAGGUACCUAUCAUCAUCAUCAGAAUCAUCUUCAGAGUCCCUUUUAGAGCCUAAAAGCAGGAUAUCAGAGUUAGAAUUUAGAAAACAUAUAAUCAAACUACUUGUAUCCCGUGACAUAUAAUCAAAUAAACAUAUAAACCUUCGAGUAAUAGCUGAUUCCCUCUCCUGUAGUAGCUUUCAACUAAUGACAAAAAAAAAACACAUUAGUGAAACGAAGGAAGAAUCUUUACAAAAUCAUAUUGAAAAAAAGGUUUGAAAUUUAUCGUCUCACUCAUCACAGUGAGAUUUUUCUUUGGAAGAAAAGUUUCUCCUCUCACGCUCUUCAAGUCAUCACGAAGUUUCUUCUUCUAUAGAACAUCAAGAACUGAUCUCGGUGGUGUUUGAGCAACGGCCUGCUUUCAGAUUUGCGAGAAGAACGUAGGAAGUCGACAUAGUGGGCGGUGAUGCUUGGCAGAGUAUAAUCUUUGAGAAAUCUUAGCGGUGGAGCUGUUCAUGGCAUCUAACGGAGACAUUUAUAGUCUGAAGUCGUACCGAACUCAAACAUGCAUCGCUUACCUUCGUCGCCAAUUAUAAUACAUAAAUGAGGCGGAGUGGGAGGAGAUGUAUGGUGGUGUUAAAUGCUCAUUUUAAUGGUGGACUUAAAAAACGAAUCUGUUACCCAAAGUUUUCAUCGGAUGGAAGAGAAGCGAAAGGAUUAGGGCGUCUCAGUCGAGGAUCAUAAAAACUUAGUCAAACACGGGCCCACGCAUCUGAUACUUAUAAAGACCAAAUUAAAAUAAAAGCCCAUUCACCGAGAGACGAAAAUUUUAGGAGUCGAAGGUUAAGAUGCCACGUGGUGCAAAACGCCCACCUCUAAAAAAAAGACGUGGAGGGCUAAGGUGAGAGAAAACUCUGUUUUUAGGAGUCGAAGGUUAAGAUGCCACGUGGCGCAAAACGCCCACCUCUAAAAAAAGGACGUGGAGGGCUAAGGUGAGAGAAAACUCUGUUUUAUUAUUAUAGAUAUGAUUAAUGUUAAAAAAAUAUCACUAAUGUUUAAAAAUAAUAAUUUAUGUAUAAAAAAGUAAAAACAAACACCCGCGCGGUUGCGCGGAUCAAAAUCUAGUUAAAGAGUUAUUAUAUGAGAGACACGUUAUCAGAAAUCACUAAAGUGACUUCUCAAUUAAUAUAUAUGAAGAUAUUAAUCUACUAUAUAUUAAUUUUGGAGCAUUACAACUUUUGAGUGUAGCCAUAUUGACUUACAAUCCUUCGCAUAUAUAUGACAAUUAAUGAUUUUGAAUAAUAAAGAUUUGAUAAUAUUUUUUGUAUCCUCAAUAAUUUUUGUUUAAUUUAUAUUAUUAAAAAAUUUAAACAAUCACAGUAACCAUAUAAUAAAAAAAUCUAGAUUUUGUUUCUUAUAUGUUAUAUUUAAAAAAAUUUAAAACGAUUAUAAAUUACUAAAACUGUUAAAAGUCUUACAAUGAAAAUUUUGUGAACAACGGUUUUAGUUUUUUGUUAUAAAAAGAUACAAAUGAUCACAAAACAUAUCAAUAUAAAGUAUCAUUUAAAUAGAUAUUCAAUCUGAAUAUCUAUUACCGAGCUUAGAACUUUAGGGUUUAGUUAUAAUCUGAACGAAACCAAAAUCCUAACUAUAAUCCAAAGAUAUCAGAAAUUAGUAUAAUAUGUUAAUGUUUUUUUUAUAUAUGUUAAGGCAAUUUAGAUAUUUUAUAGUUCGAAAGAUUUUUGUAGUUUAUUUUAUUUGUUAUCUUGAAUAUCUUUUAGUUAAUUUAGAUAGUUUAACUAAUUUUAAUUAUAUUUAUGAAUAAUUUUAACAUUUUGAAGCUUUUUUCAAUUUUUGAGGUUUAAAAAUAUAUUUUGGGACGAUUCAGAUAUUGGUUACAAUCCGGUCCGAACCGAACCCGGCCUAAUUAUUAGUAAAACCCGAGUGGGACGUAUAAGCAUAAUAUCAAAAUUUUGAAAAUCUGAAUCAAUUGAACCGAAACCGACGGACCCCGAACGCCCAGACCUAUGAUACAUUUAUAUACAAACAUUUGUAUUCUUCAUUUUACAAUCGAUAAAGAUUAUAAUAUUGUAAAAUGUUAUAACCAUUAAAUAAAUAAAUAUUAGUAUAAAAAUCUUACUCCGCGCCGAUUAUCAUCUAGUAAUAUUAUUUGCCAAAAUCAAUAUACAAGGACAUAAAUAUUAAUUCAUAAAUAUAUUAUAUUUAUGAUUUUACCCUAAAAAUUUUUAAAACUAAAAUAAUUUUCUAGCCAGGUUUUUUGUUAUUUUCGUGUUAUAGGGGAGAAAAUGGUAUUUGAGAAUAUUUUAAAAAAUAAAAAAAACAGCAGAAAGUAGAUAAUUGGUUCGAAAUGUCGUUUUAAUAGGUUCAGCGCCAACAAUCAGUCAGGAAACUAUAACUUCACCUUCCAUUCUCUCUAUCUUCUUUUCAAUCAUCUCCAGAAUGGAAUAAACAAUUAGGUAGUUUCGAUUCGAUGCUGCUCAGCUCAUGUCUUCUUACACCAUCAAAGAAACAAUGGCGACUAAAGAUGAAGUCCAGAACGACCCACUGUUGCAGGCAUCAGAAAGUGACGGUCACGAAGAGUUCAACGGAGCUUCUUUCACCGGAGCGGUACUCAACCUGGCAACAGCGAUCAUCGGUGCUGGUAUCAUGGCUUUGCCCGCCACGAUGAAGAUCCUCGGACUUGUUCCCGGAAUCGUGAUGAUCCUUCUCAUGGCUUUCUUGACCGACAAGACUAUUGACUUCUUGCUUAGUUUUAGCGGAGUCGGGAACGCUAGAAGAUCGUACGGUGGUUUGAUGGAAGAUUCUUUCGGCAAAACCGGAAGGAUUGUGUUGCAAGUUGCUGUUCUUGUUACCAACAUUGGGGUUUUGAUCGUUUACAUGAUCAUCAUUGGUACUUGAUCUUUGAUACUAAUCAGAGCUUUUGAUCUUUGGCAUUUGUUUUAACUCUUGUUUGGCUUGAAGGUGAUGUUUUGGAGGGUAUGCUUGAAGGAUGGUUUGGAGAAAGCUGGUGGGACAAGAGAAGUAUUGUUCUUCUCUUUACAACUCUUUGUGUCUUUGCUCCAUUGGCAUCCUUCAAGCGCAUUGGUUAGAACAAUGUGUUGCAUACUUCUCUUAAAAUGAAAUGGAGAGUGUAUCCGGUUGAUUUAUUAUGGCUUCAUUGCAGAUACUUUGAGAUUCACGUCUGCCCUAUCACUUGUUCUAGCGGUUGUUUUUCUAGUCAUCACUGCGGGAAUCGUCGUUACAAAGUUUUACAGAGGUGGUUUGAUGAAGCCAAGACUCUUCCCAAACGUCACUGACUUGUCAUCGGUCUGGAAACUCUUCACCGUUGUUCCUGUGCUUGUCAACGCAUACAUUUGUCAUUCUAACGGUAACGCUUCUUUCUCACUAAAAGGAUUAAACAGGAACUCAUGGUUUUUUGAUGUUUUCAGUCCACAAUAUACAGAACGAGCUUGAAGACUCCAUUCAGAUCAAAGCUGUUGUGCGUUCAGCUCUAGUGAUGUCCUCCUCUGUUUACGUAAUGACAAGCUUGUUCGGAUACCUCUUGUUUGGUGAAUCUACUCUUGAUGAUGUUCUUGCAAACUUUGAUACCGAUCUUAAGAUCCCUUUCGGUCCGGUUCUCAGUGAGGCAGUCAGACUCAGCUAUGCAGCUCAUCUCAUGCUUGUGUUCCCUGUUAUCUUCUAUCCUUUGCGCGUUAACCUGGACGGUCUCUUGUUCCCUACGGCUACUCCAUCACUUACUACCUCUAAUAUGAGGUUUGGCUCCAUCACUGCCGGUCUCAUUGCUGUAAUCUUUGUUGGUGCAAACUUCAUUCCAAGCAUCUGGGAUGCUUUCCAACUCACUGGAGCUACAACUUCUGUCUGCAUCGGUUUCAUAUUCCCUGCUGCUGUCAUCUUGAAGUAAGUCCCCAUUGUUUCUCAUAACAGACUGGUUUUGGAACCUAAUGGAUCAUUUUACCUGAGGGUAUCUCUUCAGGGAUCGUCAUAACCGAGCAACAAAGAUGGACAAGACUAUAGCCAUUUUCGUGAUUGUCCUUGCGGUUUUCUCCAGUGCAGUUGCCAUUUACAGUGACGCUUACGCCUUAGUCAAGAAGAACAAAUCCACAUUUCCAAUGUGAGCAGAAUGGUUUUGUUUGGUUCUCUUACUCUAAGAAAAAAAAAAAACUUGACAACUGUAAGAAUGACCCCUGUGAUUUUGAUCUUUAGAUCUUGUUCAGCUCUAGAUCAAAUAAAAAUGUCAGAAGCGUCCAUGUCUAGAUCAUAUUUGGCCCUAGAACAAUAUCCAAAUUAAAAUACUGUGUUGAACUGAUACAAUUUGUCACUGUGAAUCUUUAAGAUACAGACAAAAAAACAGCAACAAGUGUCUAUUAGGAGUCGUUGGGACAACUCAAAACAAAACAAAAGAGUUAUAAAGAAUAAAAGGUUUACUUUUAGGAAUUUGACUUAUCUCCAUCGCUGGAGUCAGCCGGAGAAGGGAAGCAUUGGCAAUAUCCAUUAAUGCUAUUUCUUGAACUGCUCUGAUCUGAUCACUUUUCUCAAACUCUUUCUUCUUCAGUGCAGCGAAGAGAAGUUAAACAAAGAUGAGAGAUGUUACAGUCACAAGUGAAUAUAAAUCAGUGCAAAAGCUAAAAAAAAUGUUAAAAAACAUAUCUCAAGUAAGCACUGCACCUGAUAAACAUAAUAGAAAGCUUCUGACUAACUGUCUAGCUAAGAAAACUCAGAGGAGACGGGUAGUGUGCACUCAUCAAGAAGUGCCUCAGAGCCAAUGGAUGGUAACUUUCUGUGAUCUACACAAGAUUGAAACAAAAAGACGGAUCAGAACCUGUCAACAAUUCUGCGUUUAGGCCAUGCGAACAAUGAGUUACUAUAUUUGGAAAGAAAAUAGAACAAUACUCAACGGGUUCUCCACACUCUCAUUAGCACGUAUGAUUAUAAGCAAAUUAACUUCAUAACCUAAAUGCUUCAAGUAUCAACGCAAACCCAUGAUAUGUGCAAAGGCUCAAGCUUUCUUUUCUACGAAUCUAAGUUACGAGAGAUGGGAGAAUUGAAAGCAUGCAUCUAGACCUGUAGAGAACGUCGAAGGAGACGACGGAGGCGCGAGCAUGGCCGACUUUUCGCGUGCCCCAAUGUGAAAUGUAGAAUCUCCUAUGGAUUCCUAGAGUCUCAUAUACCCCUAUUUCAUAAUUAUUUUUUUGAUCAAAAUCCAAACUUUCAAAUCAAAUCCUUCCAGGUCAUCAAAACUAAACCCUAACCCUCCCCUAUAAAUUAGUGAACCCAUGGACAAAUAUUUAAAUUCAGAAUAAAAUAUUUUAAAAUCAUUUUUAAUCAUAUUUUGAUGAUUUUUUUGAAAAUAUGGAAAACAACGUUUUUGGAUUUUUGAAAUAUUUUUAUCAAAUUCUAUAAAUCAAAUAAAAAAUAUUAACGUUUCAAUUUUAAUUUUAUGAUUUUUAGUUUGACAUAUAAAAUUAAAAGAACAAAAAGAUCCUUUUGAGAUUGUGUUAUGAGAUAUAAGGGUAUGAGAAGAUUUGUCUCUCUUUGCGGUUAGAAAAUGUAGGAACUGUGACCAAGAUCUAUAGGUGGGAUCCACUCUGUUUCUCCUUGAGCCAUCUUUUUUUUAAUGCUAGUUUAUUAUGAUAUUACAAUUAUGAAAAAAAUUAUAUAGACGAUUCGACAACCAACAAUACUACUUGCCUUAUGAGGAUUUAUGCAUAACUGCAUCAUGCCUUAUGAGGAUUUAUGCAUAACUGCAUCACCUCAGCCGUCCUAUGAAAAUCCACGUUUGGCCGAAUUUAUUUGCGCCAUGUUAAAAAUCCCUUGUAAGCUUUUUUCCGUAAUUUGUAUAAUUGUUUAAUAAAUCGUUUUUUCCGGGAAUUGAAAGUGGACCUCAUGUAAUAUGCAAAAAUUUGCAUAGAGAUUCGAACCCAAACAUGGAUGUAGAAACCUUUAAACAUUAACCAUAUGAUAUAGUGCUUCCACUAAACCAUCUAUCUAAGAUCCUGUUUCAAAGAAAAACUAAAACUUUAAAUAUUUGAUUUCAAUUAUAUACUCCAACAAAAGUUUAUAACUUUAAAUUUUAAAGUUUUGAAUAGUUAAACUUUAAUUUGAGAUUUUAUAUUUUAAAGUUUUAAAAAAAUUAUCUGUUUUCUAAAUAAUCUUGUUAAGUUUCAAUAUUAUCAUUUUAGUUCUUAUAAUUUCUAUAUUUCAUUAAUAUUUUACAUAUAAAAUACUGAUUUGGUUUGCAACUUAUAUCUAACUAAUAAAUAAAUUUAUAUGUCAUUUUAAAAUUUAUUAACUGAUCAUAUAUAAAAACAUUACAAAAUAAUUUUAUUGAGUAGUUUGGUAUUUUAUUUGUAAGUAAUGAUUUAAUUUAAGUUUUUCAGUUAUCAUUUAUCAUAAGAUAGCAUUUUUCUAACCAAUAUUAUAACUAUUAUAACUUUAAUCAAUUUUUAAUUAAUAUCGAAAACUAAAGUGAAUAUAUAAUAAGAUUUAAAAAUACAUUGUAGGUUUUAAUAUUGGAAAGUAACACCCCAAAUCUCAAAUUUAGGGGUUUUCCAACCUUAAAAAUAUGGCUCCUCUUGAAAAUGCUCUAAGUUGGACUAUGGGUUUGUUCAUGGAUAUGAUCAACUGGAAAAAUAGACUGUUUUCAAAUAUCAAAAUUGUAAUCUCGUUACAGAAUUUUCUUCUUUUUUUUUUAAAUUAGAAAUUUUGUUUAUGUUGAAAUAACACUGUCAAGAUAUGUUAUAGUUUACUAAUUAAAUACAGGAUUAGAGUGAGCUUUGGGUUCUAUAUAGAUUCAGUUGCUCCACCACGUAGACCAAAUUGUUUAAAAAUUGCCUCAAUUUUUUUUUUUUUUGGUGUAAAAUUGCCUCAACUUCUUGUUCAUUCUUUUAUUAGAAAUGAUAUAAAGGAGUGGGAUCUUCAAUUUUUACGAGAAUAUAUGCACCCCGAAGAUUUAACUUUGAUCUUUGGUGUUUCCCUAUGUCUGACCGAUAGGGUUUUGUAAUCUGCGGUUUCUAAUUUUCUUAGUGGUAUAUACUCUUCUGCUUUGGUGUGUUUGCUUUGUUCUAAAUUUUCUCAGUGCAUUACAAAUAACAAUCUUGGUUUUGUGGCUUCGCUUUGGUUCGGGGAGUGCCAAUUCCGGUUUUGAUUGGUUGGUUAAAGCAACAAUUGCAAAGUUUUGGUUUAAGGCAAGUCCUUUAUGUUGCGUGACAGUGAAUACUUUUGUGUUGAGUAGUUUAGUAAUGCGUUCUUUCCAUGGUAAUUUAUUAGCUAUGUGCUCUUUUUAACGACGCAAGGCAACAGCUAUCUUUAAGGAGAAUCUUCACACCACUAUUCUGGUGUUUCUCCUCUGGUGGGGAGGUUUUGGCUUUGCUUCUCUUCUCUGAAAUUGACACUCUUUUUACAGCUGAACCUUUCGUUGUCUUUAACUUGGUAGUCUGUGGAACUCUUGUGCUAGCCUCCACGCUUUAAGGAGAAACAAAAUCUAGAGUCACCUUUAUACUCUUAAACAGUUUGCAUAACAUUUGAUGAGAUGUUUCUCAAAAGUCCAUGGCUUUAUAUCUGUAUAUGGAAAAACAUACAUCGACCAUAAGCAAAGUAAAUAAGAUAGAUUUUGAAUAAGGGAACUCUUUUGUUAGGUCAUAGAGCUUGUUCCAACGUCAAAUUAUGAUUCACAUUGUCUGUCUUUUAUGCAUUUUGGUUUGUUUUGUUUUGUUGAAGAUGAAAGUGUAAUGAGCAUUCGUCAAUCGUUUCUUCUCACGUAUAUUAUGACUAUCCGAGUUAAAGAUGCUAAUUAACCAGAGUAAAACUUUGAAAGCUGAUUUAGAUUUUUCAGAGAAGAGAACUCUGUGUAGUAAGAAGCAUUUGAGAUUGAAGAAAAGAACUAGUUCAUUAACAGUUUUGGUUGCACUAGGAUUCCCAGAGUUAAAAGAUGCUUUUUGGUUGCUUACCACAGUAAAAAGAUUGAGACUUGAGUUUGCAAGAGAAAAGAACAACUUUUUAACAGUUAGAAACAUACAGUAGUAAAACUUUGAAAGCUGCUAUUCAAAUGCUAAAUUAACCGCAGUAAAACUUUGAAAGCUGGUUUAGAUUUGAGACCUGAGUUACUAAACUUUAUAAUGAACAGAAACAACAUAUACUAAACAGAGACUUUAAACAGGAGACAUACUAGACCUUCAUGAAUAUAAAGUACGUACUAAACCUUAAUGAACGGACACUAAACUGAAAGAAGUCUGUCGAUUUCUUCAACCCCAAGACUUUGGUCAGAGUUCUCUUAACGGUCUUUGUCUUCCAGAACCUCAACUUCAAAGGCUUCUUGUCUGAAACAGCAACAUCAUCCGUCGCUAGUUUCUUCUUGGAACCUCUUCGUCUGAUUCUCAACUUGAACAGGUUCGACAGAAACGAGUUACUUGUCUUCUCCUCUGUUGUCUUCUCAUCCUCUUCUUCAACUUGUGGACGAGGCAAGAAGGGAUGAAGCAACAACUCAUGCGCGCUUCCUCUCUCCUCAGGGUUCCUCGAGAAACACGUUUGGAUAAAGUCCUUUGCAUCACAAGGAACCGUUUCAGGUAUCUCUGGAGAUUUACCAGAGAGGAGACGAGUAGCGAUCUCAUCUAGUUCGAGGCCUUCCCAUGGAAUCACGCCCGUGUACAUCUCCAGAACCAAACACCCCACCGACCACAAGUCUAGAGACACGUGGGCGAUGCCGUCACGGACCGACUCGGGCGACAUGUAGAUCGCAGUCCCAAGCCACGGGAAAUUAAUUUCCCAACACAGGGGAACCUCUCCUAUCUCUAACGCGUUGCCGAAAUCACAAAUCUUGACCUCGUAUGAAUUUUGUCUCAAAGAGGAAGAAGGGAAGACGAGUAUGUUGUCUGGUUUGAUGUCGCAAUGAACGUAGCCAUGGUCGUGAAUCGAGACCAAACCUUCGAGAACCAUCCGUGUGAAAUCCCUGAUCAACGGUUCAGGCAACUUUCUGUCGGCGUAAUUGUUCAUGAAAGCGUGGAGACUACCUUCGGAAGCAAACUCGAGUUGUAGUUUGUGGAGUUUCUCCCCGAAUCUGCUGAAACUUUGUUGGAGAGAGUCUCCGAGACAUGUGACGAUCCUGGGACAUCCCUUGAGUUGGAGAAGAACGUGGAACUCUCUUUGGAGAGCGUUGUAGUCUUCUUGGUAAGAGUUCUUUACGGCAGAGAGGUAGAAAGAGUUGUCGUCGGGAUUAUUGUAGCGGACGAGAUUAACAAAACCAUAAGCACCUUUGCCUAGUAACUUGACGAAUUCUUCUUUCGUUUGCAUCUUUUCAAUCGGGUUUUGACACAGAAUCGUUGUUCGGAAACGUUGAGAGAAUUAAAAAUAGGAAACUGUGGCGAAGGAGAAGUGAUUUCAGAGUGUUAUAUAGAGAGUUGGGGUUCAGUUAAGUCGGUGUUGCAGACACACGGAAAAAGGAAAAUUGAAUAACAUAAUUUCCUUUUCUGAGAUACUUCAAAAAGGAAAUUCGAAGCGCUGGCCAACGGUUGAAAAAAGGAAAAGAAUUCGAAUUUUUGGUCAUUUAUAAUUAAAAUGUCCAAAUUUAUAACAAUAAAGAAUUUGUCCACGAUUUAGUUAAUGCUUUCAUAUAAAUUUUUAUUCAUGUCGUUUAAUGCUUAAAAUGUAGUUUGGAAAAAUAUAGGAUUAUAUUUAUUUUCAAAAUUUUAAAGCAGAAAAUGGUAUUUGUUUUGAAACUUCCUCAUUAAACAUAAAUGCUGACAAUGUUAAAAGAACAUAGUGUAUUUGUGACAUCUAAAAAAAACUAUAGAACUUCUAGUGGAAAAAUGUUUAAAAUAGUGACUAAACUUUUUGGCUAUAAAUUUGUUAAGCAUGACAAUUUACCUGAAUUCAAAAACAUGUUCACUAGAUCAAAAUAACCAAAACCGGACCAAAACUUUCAAAUAUUUGGAUACUUCUUAUACUUUUAUAUUCAAAAUAAUCAAACCAAAAAUUAAAUAGACAUCUAUAUAAAAAUAAUUUGAGUCGUUUGAUAUAAUUCGAAUCAUCCUAAUUACUCAAUAUUUUACUGAAUCAAACGAGACCUCGGAUCACAAACAAUUUCUAGUUUUACUAUCUAAACUAGUCCAAAAACGAAACUAUCCGAACUUAUUCAAACCAAGAAGUUGGCAGUUCCUAAAAAUACCUGUUCAAAAUAUCUGAUACAUGUAAUAUCUCACACGAGCCGAAUCGACACCCGAAAUGCCCUAGUCUAAUUUUGUAUUUGAUUUAAAAAAAUCUAACUUUUAAUACACAAAAAAAUUCAGGCUUUGUUUUAGAAAUUUGAAAGAUUUAAUUAAAAAUUGUUGCUAUAACUAAAAAUGUAGUAAUAUUAUAUAUAUAUACUUAUAUAUGAUAUGUAUUAGUUAAUAUUUAGGAAAUUAACAAAUAUGAUAAAGCAAUAAACUGAUACAAUUAAUUAGAUUUAUAAAAUGAAAAUAAAAAUAUCUUAUGUUAAAGAUUUAUUGUUAAAUAGUGUUUUUGGAAUUAUUUUCAUACUUUAGUAGUAUAUCAUGACUCAUUUAAAUCAUAAUGGAGAUGAUGUAAGGGAAAUUCUAUCAAAUAGCUAUUUUUAAGUUUUUGUCACAAAAAUAGUCCUCACGAAAGAAAAUGAUCAAAAUAAUCUUUUUUUUUAUUUUAAAAAUUUUAAUAUUUAUUUUUAUUUUUCAAAAUUUGAAACCCUAUUCCCAAAACCUCACCCCUUAACUCUAAACCUUAAUUCUAGAUUAGUUAACCCUAGGAUAAAAAUACAUUUUUAUCAUUUAGUAAAACUUAUUUCGAUCAUUUUCUUCGUUAGAGGUUAUUUUUGAAAAAAAAACUUAAAAUGACUAAUUUGAACUGAAUAUAUAAAAUAAAUAUAAAAAACUUCAUUAGAGGCUAUUUUAUUCAUGAGGAUUUUUGUGAAUAAACUCAAAAUAAAGCUAAAUCGAUAUCAGUUUGAACCUCAUGAGUCCCUCUUAAAGUGUUUUUCAAAUAUCAAAUACCUUAAAAUUUGUUUGAAUGUGGUAAGAUGAUCCAGUAUACUCCUCUUAGUGUUUUGUUAUCAGUGAAAUCACUGAAUGACCAGAUAAUAUCGUAAUUUGUUGGCUGGAGUCAGCUUAUUAUAAGUUUUGGUUCGAUCCUUUUAGAAAUAGUAAAUGUCGGUUCGGUUCAGAUCGAAUCGGUUUGGUUCAACAAAACAAAUCAACACCUGAGUCCCCCCCCACCACCACCCAAACGCCUCCAUAAACCUCAUGUGCUUUGUUCAGAGGAUCUCGUCUUCUUCUCUUUCUAAUCGAAAAUGGGAACGUUGGGACGAGUAAUCUACACUGUGGGUAACUGGAUUUGCGGGUCUGGGCAAGCUCUAGAUCGCAUCGGUUCUCUUCUUUAAGGGAGUCACCGCUUGGAAGAACACCGUGAGCCACAUUCAAACCCUAGAUCCAAAUCCACAUCUCUAAUUUGUCGCUUACAAGAAAAGAUCUGUUCAUAUUCGAGAAAUUGGUGGUCUAAUUUAGGCUCUCGUUUUCCAUUGGUUGUUGAUGAGUGUGUUUGACAUCUUAUGUUACCUGCGGACAAACAUAUAUCAAUUACCAUUUCGAUUAAAAACUGUUGAACCAUGACAGAGAUCAACAUUGCAAUACUCUCGGAUUACAAUAGACAAUAACAACCGUAAUUUUCAGAAGAAAAAAAAAGAAACUGAAAACGAAGAUGGAGGGCAGAGAGAUAACCAUUUAGGGAGCUUCGGAACGCGAGUAUGCUAUUGAAGCUAUCAAAGUAACUUCUCCAUUACUCUAAGCGACUAUGUGAUAGAUUCCCUAGAAAUUAUCUGCAUAGAGCAAGACUCAAAGUUGGAGUUAUACUUCACUUGUCAUUAUGUAAUCAAGACAGGAGGUGUGUGUUUCCAUUGAUUCUCGAGGUUCUACAAAAAAAUGGUGUAAAGACAAAUGACGGAGUUGUUCUUGCAGUCGAGAAGACUAUCACGUCACCGUUACUGGUAAACUCUCCAUGUGAGACUUUUGGUGGGUUCUGCUCUUUGCUUUUUUAAAGUCUCUCCUUCUUUUUUUCAGAAGCCGGGCAGUCUGGAGAAAAUCAUGGAAACUGAUGACCAUAUAUGUUGUGCAAUGACUUGUCUGAUUGCUGAUGCAUGUAAUACUUGUUGAGCACGCACGAGAGGAGACUGAAGUGAGACCGCUCUCUGUUCCUACUUCCUAAUCAGCUCUGCCUAAGAAGGGUCAUAACUUUUUCUUUUUCUUUUACUUCAGACUUAUGAUUUUUAUGAUGGGAUCAUUUGUAAACACGAUUCAGAUUCACAAUUGAAUUGAACGAAAUGAAAACAUAGUUUUCUUAAAUUGACACUUGUCCUGUUUUUUAAACCUGAUCCCCCCUGCACAAAGUUAUGUAUUGAUUUUGGCCUUGUGAGUUGUGGCAUAAUAUGAGUUAGACCACUUAACUAGUACCACUUUUAGUUACAACAGUACAUGCGGCACCAAGCAAGGAUUGUGUCUUUAAAAGGAGGCGUUAUGAAUUUACCUCUUGAUAGAGUUAUAAGCGCAAUGACAUUAGAGUUUGGAAAGAUUUGUUUUGGUGAGAAGAAUAACAAUACAUGCAGUUUGAUAGGAAUAGUUAACAUUUUCUUAAGGAAUACAAUAUUACAUCAAACCAUUUCAUAAAUGUUAAAGUAAAGAUAGAACUCGGAUCAGACAUAACGGUUGUAAGGGAUACAAAUCAGAUCCAUCCAACCAUUUCCGUUGAUAAAGGUAUAAACCGAGUACUUCUGAGCUUCUUCGUCCGUCAUAUUGGGUUUGUACACAGUCUACACGGUUGCUAAGACCCAAACCCCAGUUCCAGUGUUCUUGUACUCUCCAUACCUCAACGUCCUAGGGUUCCAUGUGAUCCAACCCCUCGGCUCAACCAUGUCUCCUAAAAACAUCUUCAUAACAAGAACCGUUGCAAACGGCUUCCAAGGUCAUCCAAGUUACAGAGCCGGCUCAGAGGACAAACCACACAAACCAUCGUUUAGUGCAUACAAUACGAGAAAACAUAAUAUAUUUAUUAAUAAAAGUUAUAUAAAUAAUACUAAUAUUUUUAUGAUUAUUAUUAUUAUUAUUAUUACUAUCAAAUAAAUACAAAUUAUGUUUAUAAACUUAAUAAAAUUAUAUAAAAUAUAAGUAAAAAUUAUUAAAAAUAUAAGUAAAAAAUAUAUAAAACAUAAGAAAAAAUAUUAUCUUUUAAAUGUGAGAUGUUGUAUUAACAAAUGAUUUUAGUAAUUACGACUGAUUAUAGUUAAAAUGUUGCUGAUAAUAUUAACAAAUAUUACUAUACAAUUAACUUUAUAAAAUUAUAUUUAAUAAUUAUUAAUGAAGUUGAAUUAGUUUAAAGUUUUUUGUGAUAUCUUAUAUUUUACAUAUAUAUAUAUAUAUAUAUUAGGAAAAAAUGUAAAUAUAUGUUGUUAAAAGUUUGUAAGGCAUCUAAAAGUGUUGGACCUUGUUAUGGCAUGUUCGUGCUGUUGAAAAUCACGAAGCCUGGGAAAUAAUUUGUAAGGCAUCUAAAAGUGUUGGACCUUGUUAAACGAACAGAGGUAGGGGUGGACACUUUACCCGAAAUCCGAAGUGGCACCUAAACCCGAUCUGAAAAACCCAAACCGAAAUCCGAACCGAAGUAGCAAAAUACCCGAACGGGUAUUAAAUUAGGAGAGAUUGGAUAUCCGAACCCGAACGGAUAAUAUCCGAACCCGAAUGGAUAUCCGAAGAUAACCGAACAUAUAUAUAAUUAACUUUAUAUUUCUACUUUACAUCUCUCAUUUUAUAUAAAACAUUUAUAUUGAUAUUACAUAUACUUUAAGUUCAUAUGAUAUAUAUAUAUAUAUAUAAUUAUGAAAAAAAUGAUUUGCUACUCACUUAAAAUGCAUGUCAAGUUUUUUACUUCAAAAAUUAACAAAAAGUUACAUCAAAAUUUUAAAAACAAUAACUAAAUUAAUGUUUUUUUAGUUUUAAAAUGUUAUGUCCAAAUCUAUUAACCAUUCAAUCUAUUAAAAAUAAAAAAUAAGUUAAGUGAAAUUUAUAUUUUUAAAUACAAGAAAUUUGAGAAAUUAAAAUUGAAUUUUUUUCUUUCAAAAUCUAAAUAUCCGAACCCGAUCCGAAAUAACCGAAACCGAACUAAAAAUACCCGAACCCGACCCGAAGUACAGAAAUAUCCGAACGGGUUCUACACUUGUAUACCAAAAUACCUGAAAAUCUCAAAUACCCGAUCCGAACCCGAACGGGUAUCCGAACGCCCACCCCUAAAGAUGGAUAUCGUAAUUUGAUGGCUGGAGUCAGCUUAUUAUAAGUUUUGGUUCGAUCCGUUCAGAAAUAAUAAAUGUCGGUUCUGUUCAGAUCGAAUCGGUUUGGUUCAACAAAACAAAUCAACACCCGAGUCCCUCCCCCCACCCAAACGCCUCCAUAAACCUCGUGUGCUUCAGAGGAUCUCGUCUUCUUCUCUCUUUCUAAUCGAAAAUGGGAACGUUGGGACGAGUAAUCUACACUGUGGGUAACUGGAUCCGCGGGUCUGGGCAAGCUCUAGAUCGCGUCGGUUCUCUUCUUCAAGGGAGCCACCGCUUGGAAGAACACCGUAAGCCACAUUCAAACCCUAGAUCCAAAUCCACAUCUCGAUUCGAGAAAUUGGUGGUCUAAUUUAGGCUCUCGUUUUCCAUUGGUUGUUUUGAUGACAGUAUCGAGGCAUCGGACGUUGAUGAGUGUGUUUGAUAAAUCACCAUUGGUGGAUAAGGACGUGUUCGUGGCUCCGAGUGCCUCUGUUAUUGGUGAUGUUCAGAUUGGGAAAGGCUCCUCUAUUUGGUAUGGCUGUGUUCUUCGAGGUAAAGGCCUUUUCUUUCCCACUAAAUCCUUUAAAAUGUUUUGUCUUUGGUAGCGUUAAGGCAAAGCCAAAUGAUAUUUGGUUGUUGGGAAUAGUAUGUCCCCCACAAAGACUUAAAAAACAAGAUUUGAUAUAAAUUGCAAGCCAAGUAUCAAAUUUGCAGCAUUAUACUUUGCAAGAUCGUGUGCAUUCGUUACAGUUUAGAUCUUUGCUGAUUUACUUGAUUGUCCUUUUCAUUUGAAGGUUCUAGGUUUAGUGUAUUCCUGAUGAGACGUUGUGAAAUAGCUGGAACUCAUUGUAACUUUUGUGCAGGUGAUGUGAAUAACAUCAGUGUUGGAUCUGGGACCAACAUCCAAGACAAUUCUCUUGUACAUGUUGCAAAAACCAACUUAGCUGGGAAGGUUUUGCCUACUACAAUUGGGGACAAUGUCACAGUAGGUAAACUUCUAAAACUGAUUUAUCAGCUUUUGAGAAUCUGUUUUAUGUAAUGUGUUCUGUUGCAUGAUUCUUACUUAAAAUCUUUGUGUGUAAAAAUUAAACCGAGCAGGUCAUAGUGCUGUCAUACAUGGUUGUACUGUUGAGGAUGAGGCUUUUGUUGGCAUGGGUGCUACACUACUCGAUGGUGUAGUGGUUGAGAAGCAUGCCAUGGUUGCUGCUGGUUCCCUUGUGAGAGAGAACACACGAAUCCCUUCUGGAGAGGUUUCUUUCUAUUCUCUUUUUCUUUUCUGGUUUACUUUCUACUGCGUUUGUGAUAAACAUAUUGACAAGUUAACAAACAAUUCAUGUGGCAGGUAUGGGGAGGAAACCCAGCAAAGUUCAUGAGAAAGUUAACAGAUGAAGAGAUAGCAUAUAUCUCAAAGUCGGCUGAGAACUACAUCAACCUCGCACAUAUUCACGCAGCAGAGAACUCAAAGUCAUUUGAAGAGAUCGAGAUUGAGAGAGCGCUUAGGAAGAAGUAUGCACGCAAGGAUGAGGAUUACGAUUCAAUGCUUGGGAUUGUCCGUGAAACUCCAGCGGAAUUGAUUCUCCCCGACAAUGUCUUACCGGAGAAAACUACCACCAGGGUUCCAACUACUCAUUACUGAUUCACCCGCCUCAGGUUGUUUUGCAGACAAAGAUUGAUUAAGUCAAGAGAGAUAUUAUCUUUUGGUUUUGCCCUUUUUUUCUUCCGAGUAAGCAUGGGAUUUGUUAUAUUCUUGCUCAAUAAAGCCGAAAAGAACAUGUACUGUUGCAUUAUGUCACAUUUGUUGGAUGAAUAAUUGCAUAAAGAAAAACGAUUUGCAUUCAUUGUGUUCUUCUCUUUUGCUGAUGAUGAUGAAAAUGAGUUUGGUUUCAAGGAUGAAUUAGUGUAUAGAGAUCAUGAUUUCUGAAUCCAAGUUAUAAACUAUUAGGACUUGGUGUUUUGGUUUAGUUUUUUGAGUUCUUAUUUUGCUAUUAAGACUUGGUGUUUUACUAUUUAAGCAAGGUUUUUUUUUUGCAUUGGUGUUGCUGUUUUGGACUAAAAUGUGGUUGAUUUGGUGUGUUUGGUUCUAGCAUACAUAUUUUACAAAGAUGCUGAUGAACUUAAAGUGGGACUAUAAGAUGGUUUGAAUACGUUUUCUAUAAUGCAUACGCAUGGCAUUUGGCUGAGUCUCAAGACCAAACCAAGCAUUGCGUGACUAAUAACAGAGACAUCACUGGAAGCUGACAAACAAUAUUUGGUCAGUGGAACGAGCAGGACCUGUGUUGCCUUGUCCCAUCCACAGACCACCGCUUAUCAAUAAUCCAGACAGUUCUCAGGGAUAUACCGAUUCGUAACAUCUAAUAAGAUGGCACCAGCAUAAAUUCUAAACAAAACAAACCUGAUUCAGUUUGCUUAGGUAAAAACUAUUACUGAAAAUUGUAACCUCAAAAAAAACACACAAAGAUUUCACGCUGAGUAAAAAGCAAAAUACUUGGGACAUAGACUGAUUUUUAAAUUCAGCUUGGAACUUUAACACCAAAGAGCUAAAGACGGACACAGUUAUAAUUCCAAAGUUAUUUGUGAUCAAACUCUAACACUCUCACUUUCUCACAUUUCCAUUGGUGCAACAUCCUGAUCACCUGCACCACCUUGUUCUGCAGCAGCAGCUUCAGCCUCGGCCUCACCACCAUCCUCCUCUUCCUCGGGAACGUUCUCAAACGUAUCAAUCACCUUCUGUAUGCUAUCCUGGUCCAAGAAAUGGAAUGGUUCAUCGACUCCUAGAACAGAAACGGUGCAGAGCGAGCUCUUGAGUGUCUCCCCUUGCAAAGUUUCCCUUAUGGCCAAAAUAGCAUCUUUGAUCAGAUCUUCUCUUGAUGACUCAUUGAAGCUCUCGAAUCUUCGUUCUAGAUAAGUUUUCGCAGCUUGUGAACGUGACCCGAUGGCGAACGCUUGGUACUCAAAGUAGUUUCCGCUGGGGCAGUUGUAGUAGAGGUGGGCUCCUGACUCGUCCAGUCCCCCUACCAGCAAACCCACACCAUAAGGUCGUUUCCAUGACCGUUGGGUACAUACCUGCUCAGAAAAAAAGUAUGAAGAGGGUAAACACAAGAUCAACAAACAAGUUCAACGAUCAAUAAUACCAGAGUUUUGUUCAAAGUACAAGAUUAAUAUAUGAGGCUUAUGGUCAGAAAUCAACCGAGAAAAAUGUCAAUAGAGCAGCUAACUAGACCUGUUGAAGCUGUGAAUACAUUAUUAAACUUAGAACUCUAAAUUAGACGCCAAAGUGAACAUAUACCACAAAGUUUCUAUUGCAAUUGUAAAACAAGAUCGUACUGGACGAGCACAAGAGAGGGUGAGUACACACCACAAGUGAACACACACAAAGUAGCGCAAGUUGAAACCACAAAAACCAAAAAGAGAAGAGCGAAGACUGUAUAUCCAAUUUUGCUUACAAAAUUGAAGAUAACAAAAGAUGCAAACAGCAACAAACACAACUAAAGUAUAAAAGCAGGCACAUUCUUAUACAGUUAUAUUGCCUCAAGUUGAUAACUUGUACAGCAUUCCCUUGUUAUAUUUUUGUUGGUAAAAUUCAAUAUUCGAACCCAUGACCUCUAGCACAAAACUAUGUCACACUGUCUAAAGUCAAUCUCUUUUGUUGUAUGUAAAAUUCAAUAUUCGAACCCACGAACUUGAGGUUUGGAAUGUUAAAGUGUUCUUAUCACAAAGCUACUAUGGUCACAUUGGUCUAAAGGCUAUGUAUGUCUUUUUUGUAAAAUUCAAUAUUCGAACCCAAGACCUUGAGGUUUCAAACGUUAAAGUGUUCCUACUACCACAAAGCUACUAAAAAGGCUAUAUCUUUGUAACUCAAGAGGCGGCGAGAGGAGGGAAAGGAGUAAACCUGGGCCUUAUCAGCAAGACGAACGACGAGGCGGCCAACAGGGAGAGGAGACUCAUAGGUGAAAGAGUGAUUGAUGGAUUCAGAUCUCAUGUAACGCGAGAGCACACGGCCAUCGGCGGUGAGUCCAGCGAUGGCGACACCGAUGUGGUCAUCGACUUUGAAGAUCUUCCUUUGGUGAGAAGAGAGCUCCGACUGGGCUUUAUUGACGGAGGCGAGGACGACAUGGGAGCGAGAUCUGAGCCCGAUUGCGGCGGAGCCUUGCUUGACGGCUUCCAUGGCGUACUCUACUUGGAAAAGACGACCGGUGGGACUCCAUGUUGUCACGUCUGUGUCGUACUGGUUCCUGAACAUCCUUGCUUCUUCUUCUUCGUCUUUGUUCGUCAAAAGAGUGUGUAUAGAGAGAAAGACGCAGUGAAAGAGGAAAAGCUUUUCGUUUGGUUUGGUUUGGUUUCUCUUUGAAGGGACGUAGAUGGGCUCUUAUAAGACCUAGAUGGGCUUACAUAAAUCUAAAAUGCCCAUAGAAAAUAGAGCAAUUGGCGUGCAUUGCAGAAAAUCAUGUAAACAAAUGCUCAAGUCUUAUUUGAAACUGAGUAUAAUUGUGGUUAUUUACCAUUUAAUCAUUUCUCUUUCUUAUCGCUACUUCCUACUCCCUAGAGUUUAACUUAUAGCAAGAGCCGGCCUUGGAAACAAAACGAAGCUUGUGUUUCUGGCCGCCAAAUAUUAAGAUAAUAACCAGCCACAUAUGGACAGUAAAUUCUCAGUAGCAUAGUGGUUGGCGUGUGGUUACAAGUAUUACAGGGUAGCAUAUUACUUGUAGUUGGCUUUGCUUAUAGCAGACUAGUAAUAUUUAUAUAAUAUUUUAGUUAUAUAUUUAUCUCAUAUUUCAUUUAUAACUAGGUGUUUUUAGCACUAUGUGCAGUAAUAAUUUUUAAAAAUUUAAAUCAUCUUUAAAAUAAAUUUUAUUAACAUUUUAGAUUUUAUUAUUUUUACCAAUAUUUUAAUAUAAAUUUAAUUUAAUUAAACAUAAAAUUAAGAUAAAAUACUGUUUUCUUUAUUUUAAAUUAUAUUUAAGAAUAUAUAUAUAUAUGUAUAUUUUUAAAAUUUUAACCUUAGAUAUAUUUUUCACUCUAUUUUUUUUUUGGUUAAAAAUAUUAAUCAACUAUAAAAUUAAUAAAAAAAUGAUAUAAAAUUAUAUCAUUAUCAAAAAUUAAAACUAAACAGUAUUUAUAAAAUUUAUGGGUAUAUAAAAGAAACUAAUGAUACUAGGAUUAAAAAAUUAUAAGUUUUUUAAAAAUUGUAGAAAAUUUUACAAAAUUUAGUAAUAAAAAUUAUAUAAUUCUAAAAAGUAAAUUACAUAAUAUUAUGCAUAAGCCAUGUCAUCAACUUUAGUAGCUAUGUCUCAUUUUUUAUGUAAAAAUGAUUGUAGAAAAUGAUUGUACGUAGAGAGAACAUGUGAUAAAUCACUUCUAAAAUAAUGUCUAUGGGAUCUAAUUUUCUCUUUCUUUUUCAGGUGCUUUUGUUCGACAGAAUUACAAAAGUUAUAAUCACUACUGAAGGAAAAGAUGAAGAUGUUGUCCUUAAUAUGUAUGUAGUCAUCCUAUUUUUCUGCUCAUUUCGAUAUUUUUUUCUAUUCUCUAAGUAAUUUUCUUUCGCACCUCAUGUGAUCUUAGUACUUAUAAAAUCAAAUUUGUGUCUAUUUGAUAAAGACUGGAAGCAGUUAAAGGAGAGAGAGGAGCUGGCUGUGAAAGCCAAAAGGUUUGAUGAUAGUAAUGAUAUCAUAAAUUGUUUUGUUGAGUUUGAAUUAACUCAUUGUGCCGAAUUGGCUCAAUUUGUUUAAAAAAAUGAAGUCAAUAUAUUUUAGAUUUUAUAUAUAAGAAUGUUUAUUUUUACCAGGUAUGUGUUUUUAAUAAUUGAAGGUUGUGUAAUUUUAUAAAAGGAUAUCACUUACAUUUUUUAGUCUAAAUUACAUAUAAAAAUGAUGAUUAGGUAAAUUUGUUGAAAAAAUUAAGUAUAACUUGUAAGUUAAUAUCAAGUUGACAUGAAAUACUCUGAUUUAACCAUAUAUUCUAUUUAAAUAGAAAUCAACAUAACCUUUACUCUGACCUCAGUGGAUUCUUUCAUCAACGUAACUUCACGAACAUGGAAUACCAGACAAUUCUGUCUUUGGUAGAUCCCUAGGAUGUGAAUAUUAUUGAAAGUAUACCAUUGAGCUUGACUCGUAUAACAUACAGAGAUGGAUGUCAUUUUACCAAUAAUGGAAAAUACACUGUGAAAUAUGGAUAUCAAGUGGAACGAUUUUUUCCCGACAGAGAAAAAGCGCACUGAAGGCUUUUUGUUGGAAAGUAUGUUACUCCCUAAAAAUAAAACACUUCCUUUGGCAACUAGUAUCAGAAUGUAUAUAUAGCGGUUAAGAAAAACUUGAGAGCGAGACAUAUUCAGUGUGAUAUAUAUUGUGUCAGACAUAGAGCAAUUGAAGAAACAAUAAAUCAUGUGUUUUUUAAAUGUCCUCCAGCGGUGCAAGUUUGGGCACUUUCAUAGAUCCCAUCAAAUCAAUAUAUUUUUCCGGUUCAAUCAUUCUUUACAAAUAUGAAUCAUCUGUUUUGGAUAGUUUCUCCGCAUAUGGAAAACCAUAAACUUGCUUAGGUUUUAUGGUACAUUUGGAGAGGACGAAACAACAAAGUUUUUAGUAAUUUGGAUACUGAUCUGAGGGAUACUCUCAAAUUGGCAGAGACAAAAUCAUUACUUUGGGCAGAGGCUCAAGAUACUCUUACUCAGAGGGUCGUCCAAUCUAGGGAUGUAGAAGACUCAAUUUUACCUUCCAUACCGAGAAGAUGAUGUUUUACGGAUGGAUCAUGGAAAGAAUAUGAAAGUCAUUCGGGACACAGUUGGUAUAGCAUGCUUGAAGGCUUUCAUGAACUGAUGGGAGCAUGCAAUACCAGGGCCAGUCUUUCACCCCUUCAUUCGGAAAUAGAGGCGCUUAUUUAGGCAAUGGAAUGUGAGAGGAAUUUAAGGCAAUAUCAUGUCAGUUUUGCAAUGGAUUGUUCUCAAUUGGUGAAGAUGGUUUAUGAACCAGAAAAAUAGCCAGCCUUUGCAAGUUAUUUGGAAGAUAUCAAGUUCCUAAAAUGAUGUUUCAACCAUUCAGACCUCAUUCAUAUACCUAGAACACAUAAUACCAGGCCGAACAGCCUCACACACAGUGCGAGGAGACAACCAUCGUUCGUCGUUCAUAUGGAUGCAGAAUUACCAGCUUGGUUUGCAGAGUCUUCAUGAGUCUGUUUAUGUCGAUGACAAAAAAACAUAUUUGAAGAUGAUAUUUUAUUUCAUUUCACUUGAUAUUAGAACAAAUUAUAGUUAUAUAAUCUUAUAAAAGGAUACCAAAAGCAUAUUCGACCUAUUAUAUAGAAACAUUGACUUAUUUUGAGAAGCUUAAAUACAAAUCAUAGUAAAUAUGUACGUCAAACUAUCUGUACUCUGACAUUUCUAGAUCCUCCAUAAGUUAAUGUCGUUGUACUCCAACUUCUCUAGAUAUUCUACAUUUUUUUAUUUAUAAAUACCAGUUACUUGAUCAGUUGAUGGAUAUGUUAUUUUAUUAAAAGAUAUUUCUAAAAGUAUAGUUAUGUGAUUGCACUAGUGAUUAACCAUUUUUUAGAAAGCUUGUCAUGUAUGGAUUGUUGGAUGUAAAAAGUCUACCCGUACAAGGAAACAUAAAAGUAGCUCUCUAAAAAAUCACAACAACAUAAUAUUGAAAAGGUUGUUAGCUGGAUAAAACUUUCUAAGUACAACUAAUAUUAAUUUUAAUUGUACUUAAAAGGUUUUAUCUGGUUAACAACCCCUUUCAAUCUUAAUAUAGUUUUCAUUUGAAAAUUGUGUCAAUUUGAACAUUUUGAUGAUCAAUCAUGCGCAUUUAUUAAAAGAAGGAAAGCUCUAGAUGCAUGUAAACUAUUAUUUUUAGUAAAAAAUAGUUACAAGGAGAAAACACUUUGAACAUGUGAAAACCAAAUGUUUUUCUGUAAACUAAUACUAGUUUAUUAUAUAUGCAUGUAACAUAUCAACCAAUUUUUGUGUGCAGAAAAAUUGUUAGAAUUAGUGUAAGCAUCAACUAAAAAUAGUUUUAAUAAUCAUGGUCAUAUCCACGAGAUCUAACAUCUUCAUUAGUGGCUUCUCAUGUCAACAACUUUUCCUAUGCCACAAUCACUGGAACCACCCACCACCACCACCACCCAUUUUAAUAAAGCUAUCAUCUUUUUACAUUCUAGUAAGGAACCAAAAUUGCAUCAGCUUCUCCAUUCCCUUGAUCCCUUUCACUCUCAUCAAAGAGAUCUUGUUGCGGAUUCCCUUAUCAAUCAUCCUUUUAAUCACUGGUAGUGGCAAUAACUUAUCACCAUGCAUAAGCUUGUUACGCUCUCUCCAUACUGCAUACAGAACUUCUUGGAAAGCAUAUCUUAUACAGAAGAGGCUCAUCUUUUCUCUUUUCUCAUCCAAUAGAAUAGCCAAGAUCUCAGACCAGAUAACUGUAUAGGAGUCUCGUAAAAUACCUUUGGCUAUAAACUCCCAUAUCUGUGCAUAGUAAUCACUUUCGAAGAAUAAGUGACUCCUCGUUUCUGCAGCAUUUUUACAGAGCACACAUGUAGUGUCCAGUCCCUGGCUCCAUCUUGAUGCUCUGUCUAAGGUCGACAUUCUAUCUCUUAUCAACAACCACACCAUGAAUGCAAACUUUGGAGUUUCUUGAGAAAACCAUAUACCCCGAGCCCAAGAGCAUUGUGUCUUACUCUCUCUGAGCAACAACCAAGUUUCACUAGUUGAAAAUCUUUGUUUAAAUCCUGAUUUCCCUUUCCAUAGACUCACAUCCUUUCUCUCUUGAUUUAGCUUUCCCCCAAUAAUAAUCAACUCCUCCUCUAUUUCAAUGAGUAAACUCAUACGGUGUCAUGCGUCUCCUUCUAGUAUUUAACACAGCUUCCUCCAAAGUCGCAACCCUACUCACUCCCAAGUCGAUAAUGCCUCGAGGCCCUAGCAAAUCAAAGAGAGCUCCCUUAUUCGACCAGUUAUCAAACCAGAAAGAUAUAUGUCUUCCAUUACCCAGCUAUUUCUUGUGAAACAUCUUUGCAACUUCUCUAAGUUUCAAUAUUUUACGCCACAUCCAAGAUCCAUUCUGAGUAUUGACGCUUAAUUUCCAGAAACUUUUCCCUUUCAGAAAAUUUUCUUUGAUACAUUUACCCCACAGCGAGUCACCCGAUAACAUUAUCCAUAUCAACUUAAGGCCAUAUACCUUAUUAACUUCCUUUAGAUCUCUUAGUCCCAGACCACCUUCACUCUUCAUACUACAGACAUCUCUCCACGCUACUUUGGCAUUUGACGACUUAAGUAUUGGUCCUGUCCAAAGAAAUGUUGCGCAUUGCUCCACCUCUUUAAUACAAGCACUUGGGAGACUAAAUACUACUAACCAGAAGUUUGAUUAGACUCAUUAAAACUUGUUUUAUUAACUGCAGUCUACCGGCAUAUGACAAGAAUCUGCACGUCCAAGAGCUUAUUCUGCUUCUGAUAUUUUCCAGUAGCGAAAGAUAGUCUUGCUUCCUCAUCACUUGGGUCAUAAGGGGGAGUCCCAGAUACCUCACUGGAAGUUCACCUUCAGCAAAUGGGAAGUUAGUUAAGAUACUCCUUUUCUCUGCCUCCGGUACUCCUGCCAUAUAUAUUGUAGAUUUCUCUAGGCUAAUUUGUAACCCUGACCACUCUUCAAACUCAUCAAACACAGAAAGGGGCUCCCUCUAUAGACUUUUUAGAACCUUCAACGAACACCAUUAAGUCAUCUGCAAACAAAGAUGUGUUCUAGAAAGCUUCUUACAUCCCGGAUGUAGUUUGAACUUCUUAUCAGCCACUGCUCUAUCUAUUUUUAAAGAUUGCACGUUCAUAUAGAGAACAAACAAAUACGGAGACAGAGAACAUCCCUGACGAAGACCCCUCGAGCUUUGGAAAUAGCCAGCUAGAUCACCAAUGACUUGCAGAGAACAGGAUGGGCUUGUGAUACAUAGCUCAAUCCAAUGGAUAAACCUUUCCGGGAAACCCAAUACCCUCAAACUCUUCAGAACAAACUCCCAUUGCACCGAGUCGAAUGCUUUAGCAAUGUCAAUCUUCAUAACACACCUUGAAGACACUGCAUCCUUGUGAUAACCCUUAACAAGCUCAGAUGCAAGCAGCAUAUUCUCCAUGAGAAGUCUACCUUGUAUAAAAGCCGGCUGAGUCUUUGUUAUGAUUCUUGGAAGUAGCUUCUUCAGUCGAUUUGCCAAAAAAAUUGACACAACCUUAUAGAGUACGUUACAGCAUACAAUAGGAUGGUAAUCUUUCAUCUCCAUCGAAUCAAAUUUCUUAGGAACUAACGCAAGAAUUGUCGAAUUAACACCCUUUGGCAAAAACCCAAAUCUGAAGACUGAUUGUACCGCAACAAUGAAAUCCUGAGAUAUAACCGACCAAGCUGUUUUGAAAAACCCACACGGGUAGCCGUCUGUCCCUGGAGCCUUGUUGUUCGGCAUAGCAAAGAGAACUUUCUGAAUUCCAUCUUCAGUAACUUUUGCUUCAAGAAUACUACAAUCCUCAGAUGAGCAACGAAACUUUAGCAAUUCCUGUAACUCCUCCUCAGAUGCACCCUUGUAAUUCUCUGGCUUGUGAUUUAGAAAUUCUGAAAAAAAAAUUCUCUGCCUCUUGCUUUAUCUCUGAAUGUUUAGUCACCACUCUUCCAUAUGUACAUCUUAUCUCCCUGAUCAUGUUCUGAGCUUGUCGGGUUUUGAUAGCUCGAUAAAACGUCUUAUUAUUCUUAUCUCCACUAUCUAGCCAAUGUAGCUUCGCUUUCUGCUUUAAGUAUUCUUCUUCUAGACUUGCCACAUGUAGGCAUUUACCAUAUGUUUAUGCCUCCUCUUUGACAGAUGCUUCGCUCGGAUUUGCUAGUGUGUUACUCUGCUUCACACAUAGCAGAUCAUACGCCUCUUUUGCUCGAAUUGUUAAGUUGCCCAUCUUAUCUCUUCCCAACUCACGAAUCAACGGCUUCAAAUGCUUUAACUUCUUUGAGAAUCUGAACAACGCCGAGGUAGAGUGAAACAGUCUUUUCGUUGUAUCCCAAUACCUCUGGACCAUAGGAAGAAAGUCAGGCAGGCUACCUAUCACAUUGAUAUACUUGAAGGGUCUUUUGACUUUCUCACUCGGAGGAAACAGUUGAACUUUGCACCUCAUGUGAUCCAAACAUCCCCCUGCUUCAAAAACUGCAUAAGCAUUACUAAAUCUUUGCAGACCCUCUUUAUUUAGUAAUACCCUGUCCAGCUUCUUGCAAAUUACUCCAUCCUCCCUCUUAUUACUCAUGUAAACUGUGGCCCUUGAUAAUGUCAGAGAGCUGACACUGAAGAACCAAACUCUGAAAGUCUCUCAUUCCACACGGGAUCCUACUCAUGUUAUCAAACCUCGAACUCUCAGCUCCAUCAAGAAUUUCAUUAAAGUCUCCCAUGAUCAUCCAAGCUUUAUUUUUGAAGCUAGGAGAACUAUGAUGAUGCACAAGAUCCUCCCACAAUUCCUUCCCACCCUCUACUUGAUUACUCACAUAUAUACAUCAGCAAUAGAACUUUUCUUCUCCUUUCAUCUCCACCAAACAAAUGACUAUCUGAUCAGAUUUAUAUACAGGCAUCAUACGAAUCGUAUCUCUCCAUAAUAACCAUAUUCUUCCUCCUUGGCUAUCUUCGUAAUUUGUUAUUGAUGACCAAUCUCCAAACAGUACUCCUCUUAAAAUCUUCCAUGCUUUCCCUUCCUUAACUCUAGUUUCCAAUAUACAACCAAACUUCAACUCCUUAUUAUAUUUACCCACUCUUUUACUAUGGAAUGCUUCAAAUCUUUAUUGAAUCCACGAACAUUCCAGAAAAAGCACGUCAUUUUUAAAGAUUUCACCGAGAAGACCUUUUACUCUUCGGCUGAACCUCAUGAGCCUUGGUCUUCUGAACUCUUCUUCCACCUCUUAGUUUUACUACCUUGUUUUUCUCUUCCAGGAUCUCAUCCUCCAACAAAUCUCCUUCCAAUAUAUUUGUAUUCUCCGCUUCCUCAUGUUCCUCACUCUCCACUUCCUGUGAUUCUUCUAGUUCACCCUCCUCAACUUCAUCUAUUGAAAGAACAUAAUACUUUGACGCCGAGAUUUGGACUUCACUAGCAUCUCUCUGCAGAGAAUUUUGCACUCUCCCUAUUUUAUCUGGUGAGACAAGUGACCAACCACUACCUCUCACCUGUUUUUCCCCAGUGCCUACCAUUUCAGCCUUAUUAACUUCUCCAAUAGAAUCAUCCUCCGAAAUGACUACCUCCCGGUUCUGUAACUCUUCCUCCUGUUUACUAUCUUUCUCCCUCAACCCUACUAUAGCUUCACUUCCCACUUUAUCACAAUUCUUCUCACCAGUUUCCUUCCCCUCUAUCUUCUUAUCUCUUUUCUUCCUCACACAAACCUUGUCUGUAUGUCCCCAUUUCUCGCACAAGUUACAUCGAGAAGGUAACCAUGUGUAAUAAAAUUCAGCAGUGAACUCCUUCCCUCCCAUUGUGAAAUCAAUCUCCUUAGGCAACGUCUUCGAAAUAUCAACAUUCACAAACACUUUCGCUUCUUCAUAUUUUGAACAAGACAUUGUCUUUGGGUGAAGACGAACAGGAAACUCCACAGUACUCGUCAUGAAGCUUCGAGCCUCCCAUGAGAACGUGUUCAGAGGAAUCUUUCUUAAAUGCACCCACAUUGGUAUAGCUUCCUCCUCCUGCUUAUCCUCUUCUACCUUAGGCGUCCAUUUCUUCACAACCAUAGGAACUCCAGCUAUAUUCUACAUUGGUAUAGUCUUCAUGGCUUUAGCUUUUGGCUUUUAUUAUUUCCUCUGUUUCUACGAUAGUUUCUUCUUUGCUUUCAACUGACCCCCAUAACCUAUGUUGCUUCCUGCUUAAUUAAAAAUCCAAUCAAUAUCCACCACUAAAUAGUCAAACUCUUACCGAGAUUGUCUUGUUGUGAACCUCAGCAACCAACCCAUGUGCUUGAUACCAUGUUAAAGUUCAUAGAAAGAACUUUAAAAACCUCAGCCUUCUUCUUAAUCGACAUUGAAAGAGCAUGAAAUAGUGUGUUGCAAGAGCUUAGCUUAAUGUAAACUUGAGUAGUAUCUGAGUUGAUGAAAAGCUGCACAUUUCUCACUUUGGUUUCUCUGACAUCCAAAUCAGUUGAGACCAAUAUAAAUUUCAAUGUGGUAUUAGUCAGGUAAUUGAAACCUAGAGAAGAAUAACACAUGAAAGGAGUCCAUCAGAGACAGAUAGGCUAAGAAUAACACAAAUGUUAAGUGUAGGCACAAUUCACACUACUUAACGCUUACACUUUGUAGUUCACCUAAAGGAUAAAAUAGGCUAAGAAGUGCCUCGUUGAAUGUUGUACCAGAUAUUUUCGGAUUAUUAACUGCAUAAAAAAGUUAGACACAUUUCCAAAGAGGAAAAGAACAUUACGAUGUAGUCUCUAUAUAUAUUUACAAAUGUCGUAUAUAGUAAAUACCAAGUAAUAUAGACAAAAACGAAACGGAAAGAAAAAGUUCUUGCGAUUCAUUUGGAGAAACAAACAUUGACACUAAGAGAAAUGGAUCUAAUAAAGUAAGAACCCUUAUCAUACAAUUUUGUUUUCCCUUGAAGUUCGGAAUGUAUAAACGGAUCUACGAAACCUUCAUGGUUAAGCUUCCCGUCCACCUUGAGGCGACGAAGUAGCAGUUCGUAAUAUGGCAUUCAAUCAAGGUUCCCACUACAUUUUCUUUAGUUCAAGCAACCGAUGUUAUUGGAUAACACCAACACAGAUUUUCGAGGUCUCUCAAAAUUGAACCUUUACCAGUUUUUCUUCUAAUAUUUUAUUUCAUCGAAACCAAAAAGGAAAGAAAAAGUUUUUGCAAUUCAUUUGGAGAAACAAACAUAUACAUGAAGACAAAUUCUAAAUAGAAAAAAAAACAAUAUUGGAUAAAAUAAAGGACCUUGAGAGCGUGAGGGGAUCACCAACAUCUGUCAAGCUCUGCAUCUAAGGUGGAUUGUUCUGUGUGGAUCCUAGAUCAGAGACAAUGAAUCAAAUCCAAAAAUCGGUGAAUAAAGUCAGCGGUUAAUCUUGAGAGCGACAACGACGGAUCUGGAAGUUCUGAUGUUAGAGACGACGAAUGGGCUUUAUAAAACAAAAACCAGACAUCGAAUAUAAGCAAAAGCCCAAAAAAAAUUAUAAACCUAAACAAAUAAAAUGGUGAGUUUUGUUAAAGCGGACAGGUGUCGCUCCCAGAACGCACGACUUAGUGACAUGGCAGCACCAGGAGGGAGCAAACAUCUUUUUAUAUAAUGGAUAAAAGAAAGGACCUUGAGAGCGUGAGGGCAUCACCAACAUCUGUCAAGCUCUGCAUCUAAGGUGGAUUGUUCUGUGUGGAUCCUAGAUCAGAGACAAUGAAUCAAAUCCAAAAAUCGGUGAAUAAAGUCAGCGGUUAAUCUUGAGAGCGACAACGACGGAUCCGGAAGUUCCGAUGUUAGAGACGACGAAUGGGCUUUAUAAAACAAAAAGCAGACAUCAAAUAUAAGCAAAAGCCCAAACAAAUUAUAAACCUAAAUAAAUGAAACGGUGAGUUUUGUUAAAGCGGACAGGUGUCGCUCCCAGAACGCACGACUUAGUGACAUGGCAGCACCAGGAGGGAGCAAACAUCUUUUUAUAUAAUUAGAUAAUUAGAUAUGCAGAUUCACUUAUCCACAAUAUGAUGUACACACAUGUUCAAACUCACUUUCCACUUUGUUUUAUCCAUGCUCAGGUGUCCAUUUUGUUUUGUCCACUCUCACUCAAACUUCAAUUUUAGACUAUCUACAAUGAGCUAUUGAAUAAUAAAAAAAAAUCAAUAGUUGAAAAGACAAUGGUCUAUUGAAAAACAAGUUGAAUCAUACUUAUAUUAAAUAAAUUUGAAAGAAUUUAACAAUGUUGAAUCGGUAAAGUGGAGCCAGAGUGAAGCCAUCAAUGACCACCUUUCAUGAAGUUAUUGGCUAUAGAGAUUUCUGAUUUGUUUUUCGUCUGAAUUAAUUGAGAUAAAUUAUUUCAUUAAAUAAUUUUGAAAAAAUAUAUUUUUACACCAAGAUUAUCAUGUUUCAUAUUUUAUAAAUAGAGACUUGCUCCAUUUAAUUUUGAAACAAAAAAAACUUAUCUAUUUCUACUAUAUUUUCUAGUAGACUACAAUAAACUCUUGUUUAUAUAUUUUCCCUUUUUCAGUGAAAUGAAUCCCAAAAAUAACUUUUUAACACCCAAAGUUCUACUAAUCAUCCUUUUAACUAUCCAAAUCCAACAACUAUCAGUUUUAAAAUAUUGGAGAAAUGAAUUGGUGCAUACGACAACGCUAAGUGUAUGCAGCAAGGUAUUAGUCGAAAAUGAUAUAUUGGCGCAUGAGCUAUAUUAGAGUGAUAAGAAUGGGCAUUUUAUUUAAUGUCAGAAUGAUGGCUCGCUGUCUGUGAUCAACCACGUUAUGGUAGUCAAGUAUGAGGAAAUACUGGUUUUGGAAGCAGUGGAUUUAAGAGAGCCCAUGAAAGUGAUGCUCGAAACUCCAGAUCUGUAAAAUUUAGUGCUCGUCCAAUGGGGAUGAAUGCAUAUAAGAAGAAAAAAAGAUAAAAAUAUGGGCUCUUACCAGCCUUGGAUGUGGUCAAUGAAAAUUUCAUUGAAUUCAAACAAAUCAAAGGGCAAUAGUUGUAACACUUGAAAAAAUUAGUCAUGUUGCAAAAGAAUUGAAACCAAAGGUGAAAAGAGGCAACCCAAAGGAAAGAAGAAGCAAACAAAUUAAUGAAAUAAAAGAUUCGGUCUACGAAUAUAAAGAUGUGGUUGAAGUCAAGUGAAAAGGUACAUCUCAGUAACAAGAGCAGAGAAAUGUCCCAACAGUUGAGCCACAAAUUAUUUGGAAAUUAAUUGUAGUCCCAAGUGGAUGUUUAUAUCAUGUCACUUCAUGCUUGUUUGUAUCAUGUCACCUCAUGCUUUAAUAAUGUUUGUUUGCUACUUUUUCUUUUAAUAAUGUAACAUGUGACUUUUGGCUUUUAUUGAGAAAAUCUUAUCCUCCAAUCACUCAACAUGCUUUAAGCAUUGAAUGUGGGGCAUAACAAAAGAAGAAAAAAAAUAACAUGCAUCGGACUUUACAUUUAGUUUUCAUUCAAACUUAAAAACGUAGAAUCAUUAACAAUAAUAAAAUAUAAAAGUACUUGCAUGAAGAAUAAACUUUUUUAUAAAAAUCUUUCCUACAGGAAAUGGUAAAAGAGUGGGUUGUCGACUCUGGGCACCAAUGCAUGUCUAUCUUUUUUUCUUUUUCUCUUUGUCUAUAAAAAUACUACACACUCUUCAUUUUCUUCUUUCAAAGGGCAUUCAUUUCAAAUGACAACUGCAUCUUACUAUUGCGAGAACCUUGCAAGAAACAACCCCCAUCCCCCUUCCGCCCAAUCAAGUACCAGUUGCUUCGCAGCGCGGGUAGCCUCAAAUCAAAAAUCUUCUCUACUCAUAAUUUUUUUUUAUUUUCUUGUUUUAUAUAAAAAUUUAAGAUGAAGUUUUAUAUUAUGUUUAACUGAUUUUUCAUAUUUUUUAAGGUUGUCUCAUAUGCUUCUUUCCACCAAACAAUUCAAAAAUCAGAUACAUUUUUUUUGUUUCUUCAAUAAAUUAUGAAACUUCUGAAUUUUUUAAAAUAAGUUAAAUUUCUAUUCGAUAAUACUCAGUAAAAAUCAACCUGUUAUUUACAAAUAUAUUAUAACAUAUGCAAGCAUUUCAAUCAUCUAUAUAAUUUUAAAUAUUAUCUAUAUAUAUAUAUAUUAGUUUUAUGAAUUUAUGCAUGUUAUUGAUAUAAAAAUAUUUUUUUAUAAUAAAUUUAUAUUUGUAUAGUUAAUUAAUAUUUUACAAAAUGAAAUAGUAAAUAUAAUUUUUAUUCGUUCAUAUAUGUACUAUAACACAUGCAUGUAUUUUAAUCUUAUGUAUAAUUGGUUUUUUAAUUUUUUAUCUUCAGUUUUCUCUUAUAUUAAUAUUUUAUUAAAUAUUAUGGUACAUAAUUAAUUUCUAUAGCGAAUUAUAAAUACUUUAAUAGGUAUAACAUUUGUUUAAAUCUUAUGUAUUGCAAUUUAAUUACAGUCAAUAAUUAUUACCCAUCCGUUUUGAUUUACUUGUUAUUUUAGAAAAUCACGCAGAUUAAGAAAAUUAAUAUUUUUUCUGUUAUACCCUUAUCAAUCAAAUUUAUUUACAAGUUUAGUUAUCUAUUUAAUAUUUUAAAUUAGUUGUAAGAAAUAAUUUUCUUGUCGAAUAUUUUGGCUCUUAGCAUUCUUCACCAAAUUAUCUUUAACUAUUAGUUCAAUGAAUUAAUUAAAUUGACUACAUACUCCUGUUAACAUCAAUAUAUUUAGAGGGAAACUAAAAUUUUUACGUUUAAUUAUACGCAAAAACAAAACAUAGUGGAGGCAAGUAAACAGUUCAAAACUUUUGACAAUCAGUAUAUAAACAAAUCGUGCGAUAACAAAAGUAUCAAUGGCUAAUUCUGGUCAAAACCUUUUUACAUUCAACAAAUAAAAAGCAUUAUUUUGAUUUAAAAAAUCGUGUGAUAACAAAAGUAUCAGUGCCAUUUUCUGUCAAAAAUAAUUACUGAAAAAAUAUAAAUAGGCUUGUUAUCUUUAGAUUAUAAACAGUCUGGGCAAUUUUAACAUACAUGUUGACCACAUUGGAAAAGAUAAGAAAAAUAUUUCAUUGUAGAAAAUGGCGGUUGAGAUGAUGUUAAACGAAGAUUUUUUGAAGUAUAGUUAGUUAAUUUAAAACAUUUUGUUAUUUUAUAUUAAAGUUAGAAUAGUUAUUUUCUUGUAUAAAUCAUAUUGAAAAACGAGAAUGACGCUUAAUUUGUGACAAAAAUCAAACCUAAAACGACAAGUAAAUCGAAAUGAUGGCAGUAAUAUAUAAUCAGAAAAAGAAACAUAUAAGAACGUAAAAUUAUGAAAAAAAAAUUGUAGGGUAUUUUUCAACAAACCAUUGUGAAAUAUAAAAAAUGAGUGGGUAUUGAAUUAUUAUGUAGACGAUAGAAACGAUGACGGGGAAGAGAGAGCAGAUAAUGUUGAGUGUAUGAAAUGUUGAAAUCAUUGUGGAUAAUGUUAGACUAUCUACAAUUGUGGGUAAAUUUACCACCCUCAUUUUUUUUUAUUUUUUAACACUCUAUAUCAUUUUCUCGUUUUUCCACCUAAUUAUUCAACAACAAUUUCAUUUUUAACCAUACAAUAGUUUUGUUUAAUAAAAUUCAACAUCAUACCCCAUAAUUUUUAAUUCAUAAGUUUUUAUUGUUUAUAAUUUAAACUAUAUUAAUAAUUUGAUUAUAAUUAACUUAAAUAAUUAAAGUAUCAAAGUUUUUACUAAUUUUUAUUUAUAUCCUUCACUAAGUUUUGAAUAUCAAUAGUACAACUAAUACUAUUAAAAUUCAACUAUGUUCUAAUUAACACACAAAAAAAAACUGCAAUAUAGUGAAAACAAUUAUUUUCUGGUGUCCAAAUCAAGGAAACCAAGUCUUUAUCUAUAGAAUAUAAAAAGUUAUGAAUUUUGAUAUAACUUAUUUUAAAAAACAUAUUAUUUGAUAUACAAUAAUUGAUCUUAAAAACUAUGGUGAAAUAAAAAUCUAUAAAAUCUAAACAACUACUAAUAUAAUGACAUGUGUACCAAUUCACUCAUUUUAAUUUUUUUUUAAAAACUAAAAAUUCAUUUUUGAUAACUUUUUAUUUAUUUAAGUGUGUCUUAUAGUGAUCAAGAUAACUUUGUGGGUUCUACUGUUGGCUCUUCCAACAGGUUGAAUCCACAUCAUAUUUUUAAGUUUUUCAACAGAUUCAUUGUGGGUAGUUUUACACCAUUAACAAUGAUUACAUGAUUCAACACCCUAUUUUCAUCUUUUUAACAUUCACAUCAUCUUCUCUCUCUCUUCCACACAAUCAUUCAACAACCACUUUAUUUUUGUAACAUCUACCAUAUUUUUGUUUAAUAAAUUCAACACUUUACCCACUAUUUUUUAAUUCAUAUUUUUAUCCUUUACAAUAUACUAACUAUUUAUUAAUAAUUUUUUAUUAUAAUUAAAAUAAAUAUUUAAAAGGACAAAACAAAUUACCAUUUUUUUCAAGUUGGAUAUUCAUAUAUUUUAAAAAAUAUAUUAUUAAAACAAAUGAAAUCAUUAAAAUUACUCAUACCACCAAGAGGUAUUGGCAUAGAUAAUUUAGAAAAAUCAGUUGCUACAAUAAUAUUUCAAAUAGAAAAAAAAUAAGGUGUUUGAGAAAAAUAAAUCAUCAUUGAUCGAUGAUAUGGAAGAUAGUUUGGAAAAAUGAAGACAUGAAGAAAUUUGGUGAAAAACCAUAAUUUGGUAUAUUUUUUGGUUAAUUGAAAAUUUAGUUUUGAAAUUGAUAAUUUUGGGGAUUUGGGUAAUUACAAAGAAAAUUAGAAGAAUUUCAGAUGUUAAAAGAAUUAUUAUCUCGAUCCAUUUAUCAAAAAGAAGAUUAAAAAACCAAAAUAGUUUAUUAGAGUGAAAAAUGACGUUUUAUUUUUUAUACCCAAAUGAAAUGAAAUUGAUCUCUAUUUAUAGAUCAUAACAAAUCACGAGUUUUUGUACAAUAUUUUUUAAAUGUUAUAACACCAAAAUAGUUGAUUAUAGUGAAAAUGACGUUUUAUUUUCUGUACCAAAAUUAAAUGAAAUUGGUCUCCAUUUAUAGAUCAUACAAAAUCACGAGUUUUUGUAUAAUAUCUUUUAAAUAUUUUAGUAUAAAAUAAAUGAGUUCAAAUUAUUGGGUAAUAUUUUUGAAAAAAAAAAGAAUCUGGAAAGCCACUGAGAAUCAGAUAUGUGUCUCUAUCUAAAUACAUCAUGAGUGUUAUACACGCGUCCAACAUUUUUUCUAAUUAAAAUUUAACAAGUGUCAAAGCUGCCCCAGAAAGAAAAAAAUUGGUUGAAUACUUUCAACUUUUAUGAAUCCACGUGUUUUAUUCCCAAAAUCAACACUCUGGUUGCACGUUGUUCAACAGUUGAAUUAAUAACUUAACAUGUUCACUUUGGAUAUUCUUAUAACAUUGGUUUCAUAUCUUGUUCUACAUCGUUGAUUCAUCACUUAUUCAAUAUUAACUUCCUGGUAGUCCAUUAAAUUAAGUCUCUAGUUUUUUUUGCAUAAAAUUUGAUAAAAUUUUGUGUCUAGUUACGACACAAUGUUCACAAAACUUUAUGAAUGUAUUACACAUACGAGCACAUUUAUGUUUUUCUUACAGAUAAAGACACAUUCCACUUAAGAAGCACAUUGUGUUUUAAUCAACGAGAUUUUUGACAUAUUUACCCUUGUUCUUGAAACAGAGUGUAGACGUUCCGUUAAUAAGACUACCUUUGUUUUAUUCCCAAAAUCAACACCCUGGCUGCACGUUGUUCAACAGUUGAAUUAAUAAUUUAACAUGUUCACUUUGGAUAGUCUUAUAACACUGGUUUCAUAUCUUGUUCUACAUCGUUGAUUCAUCACUUAUUCAAUAUUAACUUUCUGAUUAGUCCAUUAAAUUAGGUCUCUAGUUUAUUUUGCAUAAAAUUUGAUAAAAUUUUGUGUCUAGUUACAACACAAUGUUCACAAAACUUUAUGAAUGUAUUAAACAUACGAGCACAUUUGUGUUUUUUUUACAGAUAAAGACACAUUCCACUUAAGAGGCACAUUGUGUUUUAAUCAACGAGAUUUUUGACAUAUUUAUCCUUGUUCUUGAAACAGAGUGUAGACGUUCUGUUAAGAAGAAAUGAGAACAAUAAGUAACUAGUUAUAGCACUUGGGUAUUAAUAUUUUAUAUAAUUAUUAUAUACUACACUGUUUUAUGUAACGGAAAACAAACCAAAUGAAAAAGACAUAGUUUAUCUUUAUUAUUAUCAUUUAUUCUACCUCUUUAUAUUUUGUUUUACUUUAUUUUAAAUUUAAAGAUAUAUAAAAAAUGCUUGAUGUAAUAAAUUAUGUUCUUUAUUCUCUAUAAUUUGUCAUCAACUUUGAUAUUUUUAUUUUAAAUUUAUACAUAAAAUAGUAUGGACUAAAACAUGGACAAAGGAGUUGUGGAUAUGAACAUUCUGAUUGUGUACAUUCCAAAAAUGACUAAAUAGUUUUAUAUGUUAGCAAUUUGAAUAUAUAAAAACAUAAAUUUUUGUUGGAGAAACCAUGUGAAGUGAAUUACGUAUUUUAUGGAAGAGAAAUAUGGUCAUAUAUGUUGUGGAUAAAUAAAGAAUAUGGGUUCAUACAUUAAGAAGACCAUUCUGCAUAUUUAAGAAUUUUGAGGUAAAAGCUUAAAUAAUCAAAAGACAAGGGACCAACAAUGCAAAAAGAUAAAACAGCACCAUUGUUGGUCUCGAGACCUCUGGCUUCUAAUCAACUUGGGCGAGUGAGGCAGGAUGGACUCCGACUCCUUUCACCAACAUGUUAUCUCGGCUAUACUUUUUCGUAUAAACCGCAAAUAAAAACCGAUGUUGUUCUCCGUUAUCUCUUUCUCUCUCUUGUUACAGAUAUGGCUUCUCGCCACUGUUUCUCUCUUUCUCUAGUUUCUCAAUCUUCAACUGAAGCAAUCUGAAAAACCAUAAUAUGAAGAAUACUUGGGUAAAUGAUAUCUUGCAUAUUUACAUUGUCUUAUCCAUUUAUUCAUGUGCAUUUUCAUCAUAUAGAUUAGGAUUUAGCCAUGUCUAGGUUGCAUUUUGCAUACAUAUGUCUCUAUCAGGUAUUUGAGUACCACAUGGAGUUUCUGGAGACAUUUGGGUGCAUUUGGAGCUCAAAGGAGGUGAUUAGAGUGGUCUUUGGACGAGCACUGCCUGAAGCGACUUCUCGGAGCGACGGCAUGAGGUCGCUGUGCACCACAUCCCGGAGCGACUCAUCCAGAGCGACUGCACAAAGUCGCUCGCGUUUUCACAUUGAGGUUGUAGAAAAAUCCCUUGUAGAUUUCAAAAAGAAAGAGUUAAAGUUCUUAGGAUCUAUUGGUGAGAGAUGUGAGUUGGGUUUGACAUUUGGGAAUGAUUGUGUAAUUGUAUGUUUGGGAAAAGGGUAGAAUAAUGGAGAUUGAGCAUUGUAUGCAUGAGUUGGUCCCUUUCUUAGAUAUAUUAUGUGCAAUGUCAAGGCUACUUGUUUUGAGAGUAAACCACCUUAAAGAUCAUAUGUUUUGAACCUCUUGAAUCACUUGAAUAAAAGCCUUCCCUUUCCCAACCAAAUGACUUGGACCAACGGACCAUUUGCAAGAAUUCACCUGAUGUUUUCUGCUUAAUGAAUGUGAGAGUUGGUUGAUUUGAAUGUGUGGAUGCUUGAUGAUGAGUGUAGGGACAAAAGGAGUUGAGAUAGGCCUAGAGAAGCUAGAGUGUAAUAAGAGAGUGUGCUAAUUAUGUUUGCUAGUUGUGUUUCUUUUGGCUAUGAGCUCCCACCUUCAAACCUCUCUCCUUAUGAGUUCUAGAAAGUUCACUUGAGGACAAGUAAAAGAACAAGUUUGGGGGAGUUGAUAUCUUGCAUAUUUACAUUGUCUUAUCCAUUUAUUCAUGUGCAUUUUCAUCAUAUAGAUUAGGAUUUAGCCAUGUCUAGGUUGCAUUUUGCAUACAUAUGUCUCUAUCAGGUAUUUGAGUACCACAUGGAGUUUCUGGAGACAUUUGGGUGCAUUUGGAGCUCAAAGGAGGUGAUUAGAGUGGUCUUUGGACGAGCACUGCCUGGAGCGACUUCUCGGAGCGACGGCAUGAGGUCGCUGUGCACCACAUCCCGGAGCGACUCAUCCAGAGCGACUGCACAAAGUCGCUCGCGUUUUCACAUCCGGAGACACACAUUUUGAUCUCGGAGCGACCUUCCAGAGCGACGUGCUGAAGUCGCUCCCGAAGCUUGGAGCGACCUUACCAGAGCGACAGGGAGAAGUCGCUCGCCAUUUUGGUUCUCGGAAACACGAAAUCGCUCUCGGAGCGACCUCUCGCAGCGACCCAGCGAGGUCGCUCCCGAAGCCUAGAGCGACGUGCUGGAGCGACUUGCCGAGGUCGCUGCGCGUCGCCUAUCUGCUCGAAUUAAUGUUUUCUCAAGGGCCUUUUUGUCAUUUUAUUAUGCACGUUUUUUAUUCUGAAAACCUAUGUUUUAAUACUCUGUAAGCCACCAAGAGGGGAUUAUCUUUGUUCUUAGAAAAACCACCAAAAACCUUUGGAAAGUCAUCUCUUUGAAUCAAUUGAUCAGUUUAUUAUUGAGAAUUCUGUGUUCUUAUCUAUUUUUCCUGUGUUUCUCUACAUGAUUAAUCUGAAAUCCAACAUGGGUUUAAGAGGAAUCAUGGAGAUUAGUGAGUAAUCCCUUUUGAAUUCAUGGGUUAGGGAGAUUGAGGGUGAUUAGGUUAGAACUAGGAUGUUUUAGUGUAGAUCAUUCAUAUUUCCUUGCUAGUUGAGUGAGCAUAAUGCAUCUUCUGAGUUGGCCACUCAGUAGUUGAAUCUUAGGCAUUUCCCCCCGAAAGGUGUUCGAGGAAAUGCCCGAGACAACUCUUUUUAGCUUUUAGCAUACUUUGCCAAAGACAUUUGUUGUUAGAGGUGCUAAGAUAGCCAUUGGACUUGCUGGUUAUGAUUGCUUUCAUAUUAUUCAACCAAAGACAUUUGAUGUUUGAAUUGUGUUAAGUAAAUGAACAUUCAUCUAGACAUAGAGUUUGUUUAGGAUUGUGUCCAAGCUUAAGGUUAAUAGAUUGAUUGAUCGUUUGCCAUCUUUAGUUCGAAACUUGAUCACCCGAGGUCUAAUCCCUAUAUCCAUGAGUUCUCUUUUCCAAUAGUUAAGAAAGUAUCAUUUAGUUAUUUCUUUUAAUUAGUCAUAGUUUAAAAACCCAUCUAAAUCAUUGAUUGCACUUAGAUUAAGUGAUUACUUGCAUUCUCGGUGCUUUGAUAUCUCUCAGAACUGGUUCGACAAUCAUUUAUACUACAGCAUUUGUCUUAGGAGCCUUGAAAACUCCUAACAUCAAAUUGGCGCCGUUGCCAAAUUCUGAGUAGAUUUAAACAUUGAGAUUUAGUCAAUUGCUUGAGACUAAGUCAUUUUUAUUUUCUUUUGUUACUGACUCUUCUUCACCUCCCUUUAAUCUACAGGUGUAUGAACUUGCGGAGCAGGGGUCCAUCAAACCUAGUUCCAAGAGCAGCAGACAUCAGAGCUUUAGAGAGAGAGUGUGCUAAAAGAGAAGAGAAGAAGAACAUCAGGCUCAAUUGCAGAGACUGAACACUGACAUGGGAGACGUUCAUCAAGAAGAUGCAGGCGUCAAUGGCGCUAACAACAAUGGUCCACCUAACCAACAGCGAGCAGCUCGACCCAUUGGCACUUACGACCGUCCAAACAUUCAUGGUCAUAGAUUGGGAAUCCGAGCACCCGCUGUGGCAGCCAACAACUUUGAGAUCAAGUCAGGACUCCUCAACGUGAUUGAGAACAACAAGUAUCAUGGCUUGGCUCUAGAGGAUCCAUUUGAUCACUUGGACAGGUUCGACAGCUACUGUGGGUUGUCAAAAACCAAUGGUGUGUCCGAAGAUGCUUUAAAGCUCAAGCUAUUCCCUUUCUCUUUGGGGGAUAAGGCACGUCAGUGGGAGAAGUCUCUACCCAGCGACUCCAUUACCACUUGGGAUGACUGCAAGAAAGCAUUCUUGGAGAAGUUCUUCUCUACUUCAAGAACUGCUAAGCUGAGAAACGAGAUCUCCAGCUUUCAACAGAAGGGCUUGGAAGGUUUCAGUGAAGCCUGGGAGAGAUUCAAGGGCUACCAAGCUCAAUGCCCACACCAUGGUUUCUCUAAGGAGAGCUUGCUGAGCACAUUCUACCGUGGUGCUCUCCCUAAGUACAGGGCCAGACUGGAUACAGCUAGUAAUGGGUUCUUCUUGGGGAGAACUGAGGAGGAUGCAGAGGAGCUGGUUGACAACAUGGUUAAGAGUGAUGCAGUCUACAGUGGAGACCACGACAGAGGCAGUAGAACUGAUGAUAAGCAGACGAGGAAGGAAUUGAAGGCUCUACAGGAUAAGAUAGACAUCCUCAUUGCUGAUAAAGCUACCCAAGAGCAGCUGCACUUUGUUGGCAACCCAAGCCAAGAGACACCAGUUGUUGUCCAUGAAGUUGAGGGUUUGGAAGGUCAGGAAGAGCUGUGUUUCAUCAACAACAAUGGUAGCUGGUACAAGAAAGAACCCAACUUUCAGUACAACAACUACCAACAGAAAUCCUAUUCCAACAACCAACAGAGUGGUUAUCAGCCUCGGAACAAUCAGCAAGGCAGCUAUCAACCUCAGCAAAACCCUCCUCCUGGAUUCAACAACAAGGGCAACCAUUCUUCCCAACAACAAUCUAAUCCCUCUACCUCCACUCCUCAAGUCAGCAGCACUGAUGCUCUACUGAAACAAAUCCUGGAGUCUCAAACAAGAAGUGAGAAGCAUGUUGGCUAUGAGUUGAAGAAUCUUCACUCAAAGAUUGAUGGGAGCUACAAUGAGCUCAACAACAAGUUCAGAGCUUUGGAGAACCAGUUUGCUGCCAUGAACACUCAACAAAAUCGCCAACAAGGUUCUCUACCUGGAAAAUCUGAGCAAAACCCCAAGGAAACCAUGAAAGCUAUCACUCUCAGGAGUGGUAAGGAGUUACCUCAGAGAACUCUCACCAAGGAUGCUGAGAAACAAAGUGAGGGGGUUGCCAUCACCAUAGAUGAUGAAGUGGUGAUUGUUGAUGAGAAGAUCAAUGACGAGAUCUUGGAAAAGAUAGUGGAAGCAAAAGGAAAAGGAAAGGUUGGAGAAGAGAAGAAAACAGUUAAAGAUGGUGAAGUUGUCACUCCUGCAAGUGAAAACUCUUUUGUUCCUCCUGCCUAUGAACCCAAGCUUCCAUUCCCAGGUCGAUUCAAGAGGCAGCUGCUAGAGAAGUACAAAGCUUUGUUUGACAAGCAAAUGAGUGAAGUCCAGGUCACAAUGCCCAUUAUUGACGCUUUCAUGCUGAUCCCUCAGUACAGCAAGUUCCUCAAAGAUGCUGUAGCUGCAAAGAAGAAAGAGAUGGAGGGCAUGGUGAUUCUCACUCAUGAGUGCAGUGCUAUCAUUCAGAGACUGGUCAUUCCAAAGAAGCUAGAAGAUCCAGGAUGCUUCACAUUACCUUGUGCUCUUGGACCUAUGGUAUUUGAUAGAUGUCUCUGCGAUUUGGGAGCUAGUGUCAGCUUGAUGCCCCUAUCUGUUGCUAAGAAGCUGGGUUUCACUCAGUACAAGAAGUGUAGACUUUCUCUGGUAUUGGCUGAUCGUUCAGUGAAGUACCCUGUGGGUAUCUUAGAGGACCUCCCAGUGAUGGUUGGAAAUUAUGAGAUCCCUACAGACUUUGUGGUGCUUGAAAUGGGUGAAGAAGCUCAAGAUCCUUUAAUCCUUGGAAGACCUUUCUUAGCCACAGCAGGAGCUAUUGUUAAUGUUAAAGAAGGCAAGAUUGAUCUCCAUCUGGGUAAAGGGCACGUUCUGCAUUUCGACAUCAAGGAAGUAAUGAGGAGGCCAACAGUUCAAGGACAAGUGUUCUACAUCGAAGAGAUGGAUGCCCUUGCUGAUGAACUCCUUGAAGAGUUGUCACUAGAGGACCCUCUACAGCAUGCUUUAACUGUAGAGAAGGAGACUGAGGUGAUUGAGAACCUGGAGAGUACUGCCUAUGGGAUGAUGCUGGAUUCACACCAGGCGUUUUUCAGUAAGGACCAGUACGAGGAGCUUCCACAGAUGGUUCACCAACAAGUCUCAGUCACUCAACAAGAGGACAACCAGCAGGAUGACUGGAGUGAACUUAAGGCACCUAAAGUGGAGCUUAAACCUCUUCCCCAUGGUGUAAGGUAUGCAUUCCUUGGUCCUAAUGAAACUUACCCUGUCAUUGUGAGUAGUGAACUUACUGAAAAUGAGCUAUCUGAACUUUUGAAAACACUUAAAAGAUUUAGAAAGGCAAUAGGUUACUCACUAGAUGACAUCAAGGGGAUAUCACCCUCUUUGUGCAUGCAUAGGAUACAUCUUGAGGAUGAAUCAAUGACUUCUAUCGAGCAUCAAAGAAGGUUAAAUCCUAACCUGAAGGAUGUUGUAAAGAAAGAGAUUCUUAAACUCCUAGAUGCUGGUGUUAUUUACCCUAUCUCAGAUUCUAAAUGGGUAUCACCUGUGCAUGUUGUACCAAAGAAAGGUGGUAUCACUGUGAUCAAGAAUGACAAGGAUGAAUUGAUACCAACAAGAACCAUCACAGGUCAUAGAAUGUGCAUUGAUUACCGAAAACUAAACUCUGCAUCUAGAAAGGAUCAUUUUCCACUACCAUUUAUUGAUCAGAUGCUUGAGAGACUUGCAAAUCACCCAUUCUAUUGUUUCCUUGAUGGGUACUCAGGAUUUUUCCAAAUCCCCAUACAUCCCAAUGAUCAAGAGAAAACGACAUUCACAUGUCCCUAUGGUACCUUUGCAUAUCGAAGAAUGCCAUUUGGACUAUGUAAUGCUCCAGCCACCUUUCAAAGGUGCAUGAUGUCAAUUUUCUCUGAUCUGAUUGAGGAUGUUGUGGAGGUAUUCAUGGAUGAUUUCUCUGUCUACGGAUCUUCGUUUUCUGCUUGUUUGUCAAAUUUGUGCAGGGUCCUACAGAGAUGUGAAGACACCAACCUUGUGCUGAAUUGGGAGAAGUGUCACUUCAUGGUCAAGGAAGGGAUUGUGCUAGGACACAAGAUUUCAGAGAAGGGGAUUGAGGUGGAUAAAGCCAAAAUCGAUGUUAUGGUUGGUCUGCCUCCACCAAAGACAGUGAAAGACAUCCGGAGUUUUCUUGGUCAUGCUGGAUUCUACAGGAGGUUCAUCAAGGAUUUCUCCAUGAUCACUAGACCUUUGACCAGACUGCUGUGCAAGGAAGCUACCUUCAGUUUUGAUGUAGAAUGUCUACAAGCUUUCAAGAAGCUGAAAGGUGAACUCGUUAGUGCCCCAAUUGUCCAGCCACCUGAUUGGGAUCUCCCUUUUGAGAUCAUGUGUGACGCCAGUGACUAUGCUGUGGGAGCUGUUCUGGGGCAGAAGAAAGAUGGCAAAACCCAUGUGAUCUAUUAUGCCAGCCAAACCCUCAAUGAUGCCCAGAUGAAGUAUGCCACAACAGAGAAGGAGAUGCUGGCAAUUGUUUUUGCCUUUGAGAAGUUCAGGAGCUACUUGGUUGGGUCUAAAGUCAUUGUCUACACAGAUCAUGCCGCCUUGAGACACCUUUUGGCCAAGAAGGAUGCAAAACCCAGGCUUUUGAGGUGGAUCCUUUUGCUCCAAGAGUUUGAUAUGGAGAUCAAGGACAAACCUGGAGUUGAGAAUGGAGUAGCUGAUCAUUUGUCCAGGUUGAGGGUAGAGUCUGGUAUCCCUAUUGACGAAGGACUUCCUGAGGAGCAGAUCAUGGCUAUCGAAGCAGUGAUAGCAGUUUGUGAGACUGGUAGGAAGCUGGAAGAAGUCAAAGCAACAGAGGAGAAGGAACCUUGGUAUGCUGAUUUGGUGAACUACCUAGCCACAGGAAGAGAACCUUUGAAUCUUGUAGGGUAUGCCAAGAAGAAGUUCUACAAGGAUGUGAAAAGAUAUUACUGGGACGAACCCUACCUCUACAUUCUCUGCAAAGAUCAGCUUUAUAGGAGAGUGGUUGCAAAUGAGGAGAUUGAUGGGAUCCUUGCACAGUGUCAUGGAUCAUCCUAUGGAGGUCACUUUGCCACCUUCAAGACAGUUGCAAAAGUAUUACAAGCUGGAUUCUGGUGGCCACACAUGUUCAAGGAUACACAAGACUUUGUUUCGAAGUGUGAUUCUUGCCAAAGAAGAGGAAACAUCACCAAGAGGAAUGAGAUGCCUCAAAAUCCAAUCCUUGAAGUUGAAGUGUUUGAUGUCUGGGGUAUUGACUUCAUGGGACCAUUUCCAUCAUCUUUUGGCAACAAAUAUAUCCUUGUGGCUGUUGAUUAUGUCUCCAAAUGGGUGGAAGCCAUUGCAAGCCCCACCAAUGAUGCUAGAGUUGUAAUCAAGAUGUUCAAGAGCAUCAUCUUCCCAAGGUUUGGAGUUCCAAGAGUUGUAAUCAGUGAUGGAGGUUCCCACUUCAUUAACAAACUGCUUGAGGGACUUCUCAAGAAGAACGGUGUGAAGCACAAGGUGGCAACUCCUUAUCAUCCCCAAACAAGUGGCCAAGUUGAGAUUUCUAACAGGGAGAUCAAAUCUAUCCUGGAGAAGAUUGUGGGGAUUACAAGGAAGGAUUGGUCUAAUAAGCUUGACGAUGCACUUUGGGCUUAUAGGACAGCGUACAAGACACCACUGGGUACCACACCUUUCAACCUAGUGUAUGGGAAAGCUUGCCAUUUGCCAGUGGAGCUUGAGUACAAGGCACUAUGGGCAAUAAAGUUGCUGAACUUUGACAUCAAGAGUGCCAAGGAGAAAAGGCUCUUUCAGCUACAUGAGCUUGAUGAGAUAAGAUUGGAUGCUUUCGAGAACUCAAGAAUCUACAAGGAGAAGACUAAGGCUUUCCAUGACAAGAACAUCCUGAAGAGAGAGUUUAAAGAAGGAGACCAAGUUCUUCUCUACAACUCUAGGCUGAAGUUGUUUCCAGGAAAGCUUAAGUCAAGGUGGUCCGGUCCUUUCAAGGUCAAGGAGGUUAGACCAUAUGGAGCAAUAGUUUUGUGGAGCACUGAUGGAAGAGACUUCACAGUCAAUGGACAAAGGGUUAAGCUCUACAUGGCUACUGCACCAGAGGAAGAUGGGGUUUCAACUCCACUGUCUGAUCCUACCCCGGCCUAAUCUAAAAGGAGGCAAAGUCAAGCUCGGGACUUAAAACAAGCUCACUUGGGAGGAAGUCCCAUGCGUAUCCUUGUACAUAUUGCAUUGGUAUUUCCAUUUUUCAUCUUAUUGCAUAAAAAAAAAAAAGAGAGAGAAGUUGUGUGCAGGUGCUUGAUCGGUUCAUUUUGAGCAGGAGUCGUGCGUGGGAGCGAGGUCUCACAGCGACACCUCAAGGUCGCUCCAGCUGGGAGCGAGGUUUCGAGAGCGACACUCCAUGGUCGCUCGCGUUUUCGUCGUCGGAUCAAGAAAAAAUCGCCUCAGAGCGAGGUCUCGGAGCGAGGCCGAAGGGUCGCUCCAGCUGGGAGCGACAUUAUGGGAGCGACACCUCGGAGUCGCUCGCGUUUUCGACGAAACGGAGCUCAAAAACUGACCCGGAGCGACGUCCUAGAGCGACACCUUGAAGUCGCUCCAGCCCAGAGCGAGGUUUCUAGAGCGACACUUCAAGGUCGCUCGCGGUUUUGUCGAAACACGACGCGAGGAAACGACUCGGGAGCGACCUCUCCCAGCGACACCCUCACGUCGCUCCCGAACCGGUCCAGGUAAGUUUCCUAACUCUAAACCCCGGUUUAAUUCAAGUAAACCGACCCUAACCACCCUAAACCGAACCGGACGACCCUAAACCUACCCCAACCCCCGCGACUCCUAUCUCUCUCACUCUCCCCUCCUCUCACAAACUCACAAACUCUCUCAAACUCACCCACACCAAAAAUCCCAAAACCUUCUCAAUUCUCACCCAAAUCAACUAGUUCUUGUUUCUAAACCAAGCUUUCGCCCCUGUAGCCUAUUCCUCACCACCCAUUCACCAUUUCCUUUCAUCCAGAGCAAGGUAUUGAGUUUUUAAAUUCAAAUUCGUAGGUCCAUGAACCCUAGAAUUUGAAAGUCGAAAUUUGGUCACUUUCUUGCUAGAUUGUGGUGAAAUAGACUAGGGAAAGUUUAUCUAUCAAGUUGGGUUGUUGAAUUAAUGGUGAAAUUGAGUUUAAUUUGCACUUUGGCAAAAUUAGGGUUCAUGGAAUUAGGGAUUUUCGAAUUUGACCUUAAUUGGGUGAGUUUGUGGGUGAACUAGAUGUGUUAAGGUGUUACAAGAGUGAGAAUUGUUGCAUUGUGUUGAACUUGAGUUUAAAUUGAUAAUUCAUUUGUUAAGUUCACUUUUGCAAUUUUCUCUUGCAAAAUCCUGUUUUUCUUUACUUCCAACUACUUAUCCCUUUUCAAGUUUUUACUUCUUCAGGUGAAAAUGGUUAAGAAGACAAAGGGAAAGUUGGAAGCUGAGAAGCAAGAAGCUGAAAGAACAGAGUUUGCAUUAAGAGGAAAAGCUUUAUCCUGCGAGCCAACUGGGUCAGGGACGCAGAGAACCGUUCGACAGCAGACUUUGGCUGCAAGGAAAUCGCAAGAACAAGAGAAGAGGGCUGGGAAAAGUGUAGCAGUUCCCACUCAUGAGGAGAGUGAAACUGAGAGUGCUGAUGAGCAGGCACCUACGAAGAAAGCCAAGAUGUCCAAAGGAAAAGGGGUUGCUGUUGAUCGAGACAGGGCAAAAACUCCAUCUGUGGAGGAGCUGUAUGAUCACUUGAAGAAUGGGUCACUUGGGCUCCAACCAGGUUCGCCGACCUCGAUUUGCUGAAGGAGUUGGGCCUAGAAUCCGAUAUUGAGGCGAUGCUGGGACAUUUGAAGAUGCCAAAACUCCUCACCAUGGCUUAUCCUUUCUACAAGGAUGUCACUUGUCAGUUCCUAUCCUCUCUUGUGGUCACUUACCACGACACGGCGCAUGUGAGGCAAGGAUGGGGAAAAAUCACGUUCAAGGUCAAUGGAAGGGAAUACAACAUGAACUUCAAGGACAUUGGGAGGGUCAUGGGGUUCCAAGACCUAGAAGACCACUCACUUCCCAAGUGUGAGAACCUCCCCACAGAGCUUUGGAAGUUGAUCACUGGAAACAGGCACUCUACCGGGGCUGACAAGAACUCACACAUCCGACACCCGUCUGUACGCUACCUCCACAGAUUGCUAGUCCAUGCUUUCUACCCACGGAAGCAAGCUGGUAAUGUUACUGAGGAAGACAUGCGACUGCUCUGUCCGGCUAUCCGUCCUUACGCUCAACCUGGAGUGUUACCCCUUCCCAGCACUGAUAUCUAUGCUACCUUUGGGAUGGUCAGUUUCUUUGUGGGCCGUCUCGAACACUACAGAGACUGGGCGUGGUACACCACUGAUUCGCGCCCAAAGAUGGGGAUAGGCGGAAUGAUCACACCACUGCUCCAAUUUCUGAAUGUUCCCUUGGGAAAGGACGCAGCGGGGCCUAGGUUCAUUGAUGGCACCUACUUGAGGAUUGCCACCUAUUUCAGUGGGAUGUAUGGGAAGGACUACGUCUACCACUACUACUUGCAGGGCAAGCCAGUCGAGGUGGUUCUUCCAAACCGGAACCUGACGAGUUUAGAGAUACCAGGAGCUGUCAGCUUCAACAUUCCCCAGGAGUACUUUCUCGGAGAACACGGGCCUCUCGAUCCAAUUCAAGCAGCUUCAUCAAGGAGAAGGAGUGUCCCUACGCAACCUGACCCGCCUGUUGCAGACACGUCUGAGCAUAUCUAUGGACCUCCGCGCUACUACUUCAAGCCCCAUGACGGAGUCCUUCCCCCUGGAGCUCUCCGUGAUGCUCAUGACCACAUUGGUCGUCUCCAGAGGUGGAACAAAGCUCAGGACAGAACGAUAGAAAAGCUGAAGGAUAAGUGCAAGGCGCUCAGCAAGACUGUGAAGAAGCAGGCAAAGACUUCAGCCAAGUUCAUGAAGAAAGUAGCUGAUGUCUUAACUAGGGGAGGAAUAGCUGGAUGUAGCUCAGCCGAUUUCGCUUUCGCGAACACCUCAAACCCCCAGCCCCCACCCCCGCCUGAUGCUCUUGGCUUCCCCCUCACUGCUGCGCAGCUUCAGCGUAAGUGGAGGAACCCACCCACUCAACCUUCCACUUCCGGCAACAAAUCCCCAUCCCUCGCUUCUUCUGACAGUGAGCACGAGAUUGACGAGGUUGAGAGCCAGCCAUGGUAUGGAGGCUCCGGUUCAGCAUCCGGUGGUUACUACACCACCUUCCCUCCUGACGACGACGAUGCUGGGGCAUCUGCCCCCACCUAUUAUCCAUAGGAGGUACUUCUUUCUCUCCCUUGUAUAUACCAUCUCAUUUUUUUUUUUUUGCAUAUUAGUUUUCUUCUCGGUAUCUCCUUCUUUCUUUGACAACACAGAGACUGUGUAACUCAAGUUUGGGGGAGGUACCAAGCAUUUGAUCACGUUUGCUUUGAUUGUGUUUCAUUUGAGUCAUGCAUUGCACACCUAUUUGCAUAAAAAAAAAAAAAAAAAAGAUUUUUCAUUUAGUUUGCAUCAUUUGCACCAUUAGGAGAGUCUAGAGCAUAUAGGGUGCAUUCACUUGCAUUGGGAGCAAUGAUUUUAAAUGCCUUGUAAAGAACACUACGUUGCACCAUUGAGUAGCCAUGCACCUCUCGAAAAGACUUGUAUGUUUCGAGCCUUGAAAACUCUUCUUGAAACUUGUUGAUUGCUGAAACUCAGUCUUUGAAGCCAACUACAACCUUAUUAGAAAUGAAUGAACUUAAUGCUUCUUGCUUAGGGUCCCUUGUGUACUGAGUCAUGGCUAUACACACUGGAGUUGUCACAUCUUUUAUGCCAAUCUUUUUGACAAACUCUAGUGGUAGACCACUCCCAAAACCUUUCCUUCCUUUUAAGCUUUCAUUGUUUGAUGAGUGAGGCCUUCUUCGGAAAGUCUUACAUGCGCAUAAUGUUGAGAGUAUCGGGAACGACAAUGCUUGAUCUUCAUUUUUGCUAGAUUGGACACUCUUUUGUCUAGCUAUAGGUGGGAGGGUGAGUGUUGUGAUCAUGAUUUGGGAGAAAUGAAAAAUAAAAAGGAUAGACUCUUUGUGCUUAAGUGAAUUGAUUUUCUGGGAUAAGUAGAGAACCUCUAGCUCUAGUUUCGAAAAGUCUUGGCCCCCAACCUAAAAAAAAAAAAAAAAAAAAAAAAAAAAAAAAAAAAAAAAAAAAAAAAAAAAAAAAAAAAAAAAAAAAAAAAAAAGGGGGCUAGCAAAGUUGUUAGGAGCUAAGAAAUGUUUUGAGGUUGUAGAAAAAUCCCUUGUAGAUUUCAAAAAGAAAGAGUUAAAGUUCUUAGGAUCUAUUGGUGAGAGAUGUGAGUUGGGUUUGACAUUUGGGAAUGAUUGUGUAAUUGUAUGUUUGGGAAAAGGGUAGAACAAUGGAGAUUGAGCAUUGUAUGCAUGAGUUGGUCCCUUUCUUAGAUAUAUUAUGUGCAAUGUCAAGGCUACUUGUUUUGAGAGUAAACCACCUUAAAGAUCAUAUGUUUUGAACCUCUUGAAUCACUUGAAUAAAAGCCUUCCCUUACCCAACCAAAUGACUUGGACCAACGGACCAUUUGCAAGAAUUCAC
rnacentral:lncRNA from 1 species